rnacentral:lncRNA from 1 species
GCCUAGGAAACAGGGGGCCUAUAUGUUCUUCCUUAGCAUUUAGCUCUUCCAAAUGAAGCACCUCUUCUAGUGAAUCACAAUUCCUCACUUCUAGGUACCUUAAAUUGUUCAAGCAUCGUAGCAGAUUGGCAGGAAUAGCACUCGACAUAUUCGUGCAGUCAUCCACCACCAGCUCUCUUAAAUUGUUGAAGAAGCUGACAGGCAGUGCUUGGCCAUGCCAUAUUUCUUGCAAGCGUGGAAAAUGCGAGAGUUGCAAAUCCUUUAUAUCACGAAAUCCAAUCUGCACAAACCAAAACAAUUGCACUGGAUAUAUACAAAUUUUUUUUUAAAGGCAUUAUAUAUAUACACAUUAAACUUACAUGUUUUGUGUUUUAACUUUUAAAAAUAUAUAUACAAGGGAGGUGUAUAUGCUUAAAUGUGCAAGUGCAGGGGAGAUGCAUGAACAAUUUGGGUGAAUCGAUUAACACAUACCAUUUCUUCAUAACACUUUUGUAUAGUGGAAUUAAGGUUGCCUUCCCAAUGGUGCGGUUCACCCUCUUCCUUUUUACUCACUUGGACUUUGUAUAGCUUUGGUGUGGAUAAGAUUCCCAGAGAAAAAGUCAUCAUGUCCGGACAAAGUGUCACAAAAACUUGUUCCAGUGAUGGGAAUUCAAGAGUGUAAUUCUCCAAACAAAAGCUGGUAAGCCUUGGUAAAUCAUCAAGUAUCAAAACUUUUAAUUUGCUGAAAGCAAUACGAUUCUCCUUCACUUCUUGUCCAACAUGUCCUACGAUUUCUUCUAAUUUUGGGCAACCCGAUACUUUAAGAUUCACUAGACUACUAGGAAUUCCAACCUUAUUAUGAAAUGUCUGUGUGCAUGUGUGUGUGUAUUAAAAAAGUAAAAAUGUAAGAAUAUCAUUCAACUAGAUUCAAAGUAUGGUUAAUCAUACAAUUAUACAUUUUAUGAACAUAACAAAUUAUGAAAUGUCUACUAGAUAUUUUUUGUCAAACAAAAACGGAACAAGAUAAAUAAAUAAAUAAAAGCCACAUAAACAAAGAUAAUAAAAAUGCAUUUACACUAUUUAGUAUUAGGAACGUAGCAAGAAUUUAAGGCAAUUUCUAAAUAUUUUAGACUUAUUUUGCAUCUUGACGCCAGUUUUUAAACAAAAUUUGCAAAUUUCAACUAUUCCUUUUGGGAAAAAAAAUCAACCAAAAUGCCGCUUUUUCCCUUUUUCCUUGGUCCCUUUUUUUUAUGUAUAUUUAAUUUUGGAAACAAAAUUAAAGUGGAUCUUUAUUAAGUACUUGCAGACUCGAGGAAAUUUCUUUACAAUCAAGGAUCAGUUGUAAAUAAUCAUGAAUUUGUGGUUAAUUAAUGGCAUAAUCAGUUCGAACUAAACAAGAGAUAUUAAUUAAAUUUGAAGACUUUUCUUUUCUUUUUUUUUUCUUUUUCCAAUCAAAAUGUGAAGAAUUAAGGAAAAGAGAAAUAUAUAGAUGAAUUUGUGAACCUAUAAGAUGAGUGACUAUCCUUUAAUUUUUGAUAAUUGUACUUAUUAAGAUAUGAGCAGAAACAAUUAAAUUGAAUUAUAUUAUGCUGUUGAAUCGUGAUUAAAAAAAUUAUAUUGUUGAUUCUAAUGCUGGCAAACCUAAAAACUGGACUUAAAAUGUAGAUUUGAGAGUGGUGGUUCGAAGUACAAUACUUGAAAUAAAUAAUCAGUGGCUGAAUAUCAUUUGUAACCCAAAAAUGGUUAAAAUAUUGUUGGAUGUAAUUUGAAAAAAAAAAAAAAAGAUUCGAAAUGAAUACAACAACCUUACCAAUGGAGGAAAAAUAUUCAUUAGGUUAUCACACCUAGAUAUCUCCAAAUUCUUCAAUUUCCUGAAAGACUCCAAAGCAAGCUGGUGGUGCCAUAUUGUUCUCAGGUUAGCCAUCCACGCAAUAUCUAAUACCUCCAACCUAGGAAGUAGUACCUGGCAGUUAAAGAUUAAAUAACUAAUUAAUCGGCAUAAUCUAUUGAUAACCAAAUUAGAGGCGGAUAUUAACUAAAUUUGAAGACUCAAGGAAAAGACAAAUUAAAUAUUGUGGCUAAAAUUAAUUAAAAAAAAAACCUUUUCGUCAAAGAGAGGUGGAGAUUGCAUUUCAGAAUGAAGGGUGUCUGCUGGUGAGCUCGUAGAGAUGAAUCUUAACAUAUUAUUGCAACCAUGGAUCUCCAGGUUUAGCAAAGAAGGGAAUUCAACAACUAAAUCUGAAUGAAUCUGUCCCGUAUUGGCAAAACUUGUUAGUUCUGGAAGCCAUUCUAGCUUGAGGGAGUGUAGUUUAGGAAAAACCUUUAAUUCAAUCAACUUUCCUUCAUCUCUUUCUGACCACCCCGUGGUGUCGACUACCCCUUCCAUUGACUCACAAUAGCUUAUCUCAAGAUGUUGGAGUUUCGCAAGACUAUUAACCAUAGAAUAUGAAAACAGAUACUUCAGACAAUCACAACUCCACACGAUGACCUUUGUUAAGUUUUGACAACAGUACAUUCCUUGAUUAUGAUCGGCCCAUAAUUUUUUCAUGUUUCUUAAGUUCCUGAUAUUCAAUUCCUCUAAGCUCGGAAGAAUAAUAACCUGCAAAGAAAACCCGUACAUUUUUGUUCCUUCAAGUACAACCGUCUAGUAUAAUAUUUUUUGAUGAUCGAAGAUUAAUCGUGAAUCCGUGAUAAUAAAUUAAUCAAUUAAUUAUUGAACAGAAAAUUAUCACCUUUGGAGCAGGGUCAUCAUCAGCAAUGAUUUCGUUAAAUCCCAAAGAAGAAGUUGGUUUCUCCCUGUCGGGUCCUAUAAACAAACAAAAACAAUAUACAUAAUUAAUCUUUGUUCUUUUUUUUUUUUUGGUCCAAAAUAAUUGAAGAGAAGUCCAUAAUCCCACCAAUACUUAACUUCAACACUUACCAAAAAUCAUUUCCAGAUCAUGGCAAAACUCCACUUCUACCUUUUGAAGCCGCAGUAGGUUUUUGGCUAUGGAGAAUGAGAAAAGAUGCUUCAAUUUGUAACAGGAAUAUACUUCUAUAAUCCUUAAGUUGCUGAAAGAUUGAUCUUCUGUGAGUUGGCUGUCACAUAUUGUCUCCAAAUUGAUCAAACGACGAAGAGACAAUGACUCCAGCAAGGGGAAGACUUUGCGACGAACCCGUCCAACUGAACGGACAAUAUGCAAAAUCUCAGAACAACUUUUUACAGAAAGAUGCUUCAAUCGUGGAAAACCUUCCCCAUCAUCUAAUUCACCCUUCAGUUCUUCUAGAUAGAGAUAUUCAGUUCUCUUCAACAACAGUUUCAUCCUGUAAUUCUGCAAAAGAAUGCCAAACUUUUCUAGCCCCUGGAGCUUCAUCAAUCUUGAUAAUCCAGAUUUAACGGACCGGCUGCUCCACCACGUAUUUCCUAUACAUAUCCUAUAGCUUUGCAAUUCCACAGAGACCAAAUCCUGUGGUAGAAUUUCGGCAUCCCGAACGUGUAUCUCCAAAGUAGUUAGCUUUGACAACCCCUUCAACUCAACAAGACUGGCGUUACUUCCUCCUUCAACCUUCUCCCACUGUGAAAAGCUGUUACUCAUAUAUAGUUCUUCUAAUCGAGAUAAUUUUGAUAUGACAUUUGGAGCUAUCACCACAAGGCUGCUACAAUUGCUCAAAUCUAGCAACUGUAAUCUCGUCAAUUGUCCAAUUACAAGUGGCAACUCCUUAACAUCAGAAUCUCGAAGGCUGAGAAUCUCUAAUUUCUUUAGCUGUCCAACUAUUGCUAUAUCUUUUAGUCCGCAACCAUCUAAACAAAAUGUUUGAAGGUUAAUGAGGCGACCAAGUGAUGAAGGUAAUGAAGAGAAAGGAAUUCUAGUAAGACUUAACACUUUGAGUUCUUCUGUCCCUUCAAAAAAGAGGUCUGAAAUUUGCAUAGGGCCAUAACCCUUUCCAAACAACAAAAAUAACUGGAGAUUGGGACAUUGCAACCUUUCAGGGAGCUCUUGGAUAUCUCUAUGAGGCAAUGAAAUAGCAAUUGGUCCUUUCUGUUUCGUCUCUUCCAUCUUUUUCUCAACGUCAGCAACAUUUGGAAUAUUAAACAUGCGCUUCUCUGCGGCAAUUGAUACGGCAACAACAUGAAUGACGUCAUGCAUUUUAACUUCAUCUUCAGCAUCACCGUCCAACAAUAAGCAUGAAGAUUUGAGAUUGUCGAUCAACCGAUGCACUCUACUCCUUGCUUCUUCCAAUGUGUAAACAUUUUCAAACAAACCCCAACCCACGCCAUAUCUCAAUAAGUCAGAAACUUCUAUGGCAUCACCUUCACUGUACAGACCACAAAGACGGAACAAAGAUUUUGCCUCCGCACUUUCCAAGAAGUCAUAACUCAAUAUUAUGGAGGUGUACACAUUUGCUUGCAUGCCAUGAAUUUCUCUUGCAUCCGAUCUUCUUAGCUGAUUCAAUGCAUCUUUCCAAAAGUCAAGCUCCUUAGUUUUCAGAGCAUUUGCAACUGUACUCAGUGCAACAGGCAAACCUCCGCAUCUUUCAACGAUCUCAUUUGCCAUACUUUGAAAAGCAGAUAUUUUAGUUGAAUCACCCACUAUCUUCUCAAAUAACUGCAAUGCUUCUUCUUUUGAUAAAGCAUCGAUCCAGAAAAUUUUCUGACAAUUCAUAUCAUUGCACAAUAAAUCUCGACUUCUAGACGUCAAUAUUAUUGUGCAUCUUCUCUGAUCAUCCUCUCUAUCUUUCUCAUCAACAUCUCCAGAAGGAAUUCCAACCGCAUCCAACUCAAGUUUUGUCCAAAUAUUAUCCAAUAUAAUGAGGACCCGCUUCUCUUGCUUCAACCUUUCACGCAGUCGAGAAGCUCUAUGGUGUAUACUAUCAUUCAAGUCAAAUUUCAUGCCUAAAUCAGAAGCGAGCUUGUCUUGAAUUUUCUGGGGAUCUGGGUUCUGUGUUACCUCAGCCAUAACGACCUUAUCGAUCAACUUAUCUUCCAUCACUUUCUUAGCAACUUGCUUGACUAGCGUGGUUUUACCCACGCCGCCCAUGCCGUAGACCCCAAUUAUGUUGAGCUUAUCAUCCUUCAACGCCUCCAUAACAUCCUGAAAUACUUUCAUUCUUGAAUCAAAGGCCUCGUUAUCUUUCCCGUCAUUAAGUCCUGUGCUCUUUGGAGUAGGACGGUAGGAAACAUUAGAGAAGUUGCCUUUUCCCACGAGACCAGCGGCAGCUUCUGCGGCCUUUGCUGCUUGUUUACUAAGCUUGUAACGGGACAUCAAAUUUGGGCACAAUCCUUUGAAGCAGAACUUCUUAGCUCUUUCUUCAUCAUCAAUGAUGGAUUUUGCAACCCCUUCACUUAUGAAUUCAUCAACGCUAUGUAGCCAGUCUGUGACACCCUCAUAAAGCUCAUCCCCUUGUAGCCUAGCAUGAUUAACUGGUUGCUGCACCGUUUCUCUUUUAUAUCCCAGCUGCUUUACUUGAUCUUUUAGAUCAUCUAUGUAGCUCUGGUACUUGAACACAUAAGAUAUCUGCCGUAUAAUCGGUUUGAACAAUGACUUUGCACCUUCUGAUACGAUGCUGGAGAAAGCUGCAAGACCCACCUCUGCCAUUGCCUGCUGCUUAACAAAUCUAAUAAAAUGUCAAAGAAAGGAAUUCAAAUAAAUUAAAAUGAACUAGAGGGAAAGACAAAAAAGGAAAAGGCAGUAAACAGUGUCGCAACAUUGAUCUUGAAUCAACUGAAACAUGAACAGAGCAUUUUUUCUUCUUUGUUAAGGAUCAGAGUUUUUGCUAUUAACAAAACCUACUUCAAGCGUCUUAAAAAAAAAAACUGUAAAUUUACCAUAAAUGAACAAUAACUACAAAACUCAAGCAAAACAAGCCACAGAAUUUUUAUCUUGGAAAGUGGAUGGAAUUAAGAAAGAAAUGCUAUAAAGAUCAAGCAUCAGAGAUUAUGCUAUUAAAAGAAAUUAAUUGAAGGUUUUAGAUCAAGUGCGCCUAUUUAAUUAUGUGGGGUCAGAAAGUUGAUGAGCCUCUGUGAUCGCCUUGAAUAUUUAAGAGCAAUUUCAAUGAGCAAAAAAUUUCUGUUACCUGCAGAGGAAUGUGAUUAUAGAGAGCUUAUAGGGUAAUGACAAUGAUUUGGAAAAGAAGAAGACUUAAUCAUGCAGCCCUUAAUAUUUAUUAAAUGACUUGUGAUCAUUUCUUUUAUGAAUAAAAUGCCAAUAGCAAAAAGAGAAAAAAGGGCGAAAUUUACUAAGUCUUAUUUUAUUUUUAAUUUCUUUUAUUUCCAUUCGCCGAAGAGGGAAUCUCUCCCUCUUUUUGUUUUUUUUUAAGGGGAAUCUCCUUACCUAAUAUGACAUAAUGAAAGCAAUCUGUAAAUAGUCAUAUAAUGUAAUAAUUAAAAAUACCCACAUAUUUAUAAUAUUAAUGAUGGGAUCCAUGUGUUUAUACUAAUUAAAUUGGUGGACCAGAAUUUAUUUGACCGUACUUGUUUUCUAUUUAAUUAAGAUUGAAACGAUAGAGAAAAAUUGUCGUAUUGAUUGUUUCGAUUGUGGAGUUCCAACACUGAAAGUGAAGAUUUCAUCAACUUUCUCACAUGGACACGUACCGUCAUGCAUAUUGCAUUAUUUUCCUAGAAAAGCAAGAUUAAUUCUUUUAAUAAUUGUGAAUUCAGGAAAACAGGUGGAUAAUAACUAAAAUAUUUAUUUUUAUAUUUUUGAUAAACGCACUCACUAUUAAUAGAAUUCAUUAGAUAUCAUAACUUAAAUAACUUUUUGUGAUUGAUUGAGGGUAUCUUUUACUUCCCAAUAAUUAACUUCUAUGUUGAUUCUCAGAAAAUUAAUUUUACGAAUAAUUUAGUAGGGUGUUUGGUAAAUGAUGAUUAUUUGACAAUCAGUUUUCAAAUAGUCUACUAUACAAAUUUGAUAAGUGAAAAUUGAAAGUGUAAUAUUCAUGUGCAAUGAUAAAAAUGUACUUGUUUGCUUAUUUGUAGCUUAUUUAGAAUAUUAUUAUUAACAUCAUUUUUUUAUUUACUGGAUUUUUAAAGAGUAUAUUCUACUUUCUUUAUUACAUAUCUAUAUCAUUUUUUUAUUAACUAUUUUAAUUUGCAAUAAAACUAACUUUAAUAUUUUUUAACUAAAAAAUUCAUGCUAACAUAUUAUUAAAUUGAUUAAUAAAUAAGUGCAAAAAGAAAAUGCAAAAAUUUAAUCUUUAUAUAAACUUUUAUGUACAUAAAACUAUUGCAAUCAAAGUAGUUCAUAAAAAUAAAAUAUUCUAUACAUGUGUGUAAAAAAAAAAUAUAACUACAAUAUUGUCCACUCAUUAAAUUUGCAGCACUAUUAUUUCUCAGUCUCCCCAUCUCUCGACCUUUACCUUUAGGAACAUUAACACCAUGAUCUUCUUCUUGAAUUCGACCUCCAUUUCCACAGUAUCAACAAGGCGAUCAAUUUGCUGUGACAGCCUUUCAACUCCUCCCACUUUCCUCCCUUUUGAGGCCGCCCUUUUUCUUUUUCUUUCUUUGAUAGCUUCAAUGGGAACAAACUCAUCUAACGACAAGUACAUUCUUCAACCACAGUAGAAUUGGUUGUUGAUAUUUUACUACUCUCAUAUGGUAUGUAAACAUGGUCACCAGUGAUUGUUAUAUUAAAAAAAAAUUCUAUUCAAUUUUUCCUCUGACUUUGUGUCGAUACCUUUCAUGCAAAAUCUAUUUGCUUCAGAAAUUUCUUCCGUAUGUUGAUAUCAUAUUAAAGUGAAUUCAAGAUCCUAUAUUAUUUUGCAUGACAUCAAAGUUUAGCCGAAUGGUAAAGAAUUUCCCUUUUUGUUUGUCCCACAACUAUAUAGUCUCAUUUUUGGCAAUAAGCUCACAAUAUGCACGGAAAUGAAGAUUUAUUAAAAACUUCCCUAUAAUAUUAAACACUAAACAAUAUCACUAUAACCAAAGUUGGCUGGUGUGAGUGGUUCGGCACUCUCACUCCUUAAGAGAGGUCAGGGGUUCAAGCCCCGCUCUCGUAUGGAGUCACCACUUUGGCCAGCACUUUACCCCUUAUGGGCCGACCCGGUGCGAGCGGGGAUUAGUCUGGGUUGUGGUACGGGCUUAAAGGUGCCUCCCACAGUUGGGGCCCACUCAGGACCACCUCGUGGUUCAGACCAAAAAAAAAAAAUAAACAAUAUCACUAUGUUGUGCAUAUGGUGCCUCGUCAACAAUUUGAUGUUCAUUUUGUUGCUCGGGUGAAUAUGACUACUUGGGUUGCGAGUCCAUGCUUUUGUCGUUUGGAUGGAGGACGGGCCAUCUUUUUAUUUUAGAUGGUUUGUAGGACUUUUGAUAAUUAUUUUUCUAAAACUGAUUUCUGGUUAAUAAGACCUAUGAAAGCAUUCGAAGAAGCCACCGAACUCAGAGGAAAGCCAUGGUUAAAUAUACUGCGAAGUAUGUGAGCUCGUUUUUUAAUCUCUUGAUCACUCAUAAGCUUUUCUAUACCACUCACUAUAUCAUCCUUUUGAAUCAAUUUUGAUUGAUCAUCAGAGAUCAUGUACCCACCUUGAGAUGAUUGAUCACAAAUUUGGCAUUGUAAUGUUGGUCACCUCUAAUUGGCCAUGCUAAAAUUGGGACUUGACAACCAAUUGUUUCACUGUUGAAUUCCAUCCACAGUGAGAUAAAAAUUCACCCGUUGAUUCAUGUCCCGCUCUCUUAUGAAGUCACCACUUUGGCCAGUACUUUACCCUUUAUGGGCCAACCCGGUGCGAGCGGGGAUUAGUCUGAGUUGUGGUACGGGCUUAAAGGUGUCUUCCACAGUUGGAGCCCACUCAGGACCACCUCGUGGUUCAAACAAAAAAAAAAAAAUCCACCCGUUGAUUGAUGACUCAAUAUCAAUAAUUGUGGGGCUCAUCCAUCUAUUAUCAAACCCGUUUCACCGACUUUAUUAUCCAAACCACUACGAAAAUAACUGCCUUCUACUGGUUUGUUCAAAUGACGUAGAGGAUCCAAUCUACCUGCACCACCUUGAAUUACCCAAAUAAACGGUCGAUUUGAUGCUUCUAAAGCAUUGGCUAGUACUAGGUACUCAUCUAAGGUCGGAUCCACUUCAGUACCAAAUGACACAUAUAACACAGAUCCGCGUGAUUUCAAAUUCAAUCAUUGAACGAUCUCAUCUUCCGUCAUGUUAGAACUCCGCCGGUUGGUUCUCAUCUCAUGAUCAUGAAGCACUUAACCGGCCAAUUUGUAAAAUUGUUCAGGUAACAGUGGGCCCACUCCCCACAUCGGCUUUCUCAAUUCAUUGGCUAAAUAAUUAUAAAUGGUCCCUCAAGACCAUCACACGUGUUGAACAUCAACGCCAUUGAUCCCUCCGCUUCCUUCAUCCAGUGUGGUUGAUCACCGGCCUCUGGUGGACCUAUUUUCUCGGAACCAGGUGCACCUCUCAGAGGUGGUGGACCACCAGGAGGGUGCCCAUGAGGCCUUGUUUAAGAUUCGAUUCAAAUAAAGCCAUAUCCUCGGGUAACCCAGGAAGUAAAUGGGCCUCUCCCGGUUUGACAUCUUGGAUGCGAGCCUACCACAUGGCACACUCCACAGCUGCCGAGCAAGCACCAGAAGUGAAGAACCCAACAAUGGGAACUUCAAAAAUCUUGAAAACAUCAGCCGUCCAGCCCAUCAUAACGUCGAUGACUGCACAAACGGGUCGGCUUUUGGGUUCCCGGGUUGAAAGGAGGUUUCGAAGGCCUUGAAGCAUUUGGUUGUGCAUGACAACAUGGGGGUGAGGAGACGAAGGAGGGUAUUUUAGUAAUUUCAAAUAGAGGGUAUUGGUGAAGAGGGGAAGGGGUGAUGCUGUGUUGAAUCAAAAUAGAGUAAAAACUCUAAUUGAUCAAGAAGAAGAAAAACACUCUUUAGAAUAAUCUCACAAAAUUGCAAAAGAGAAGAACUCUUAAGAAAACUUUCAAAUGCUUAUAAUAAAGCUUUGAUUGUUAAAUUAUAAAACUCAAAUACAAAUAAGGUAUUUAUAGGUUACAAGAAACAAUCUAAACCACUCAUUAAAAUAACCACAAACUAAUUUAAACCAUUGAAAUUAAACAUGAGAAAAAUACCUAAUUUUCACCUAACUAAAUUGAUGUAAGCAAUGACAUCAAAUUAAUUUGGGUGUGGACUUAUUUGGGCUAAUAUUGACUUCUCAACACUCCCCCUCAAUGUUAGCCCAAUUCUUUGAAUCACGCCAAGCUGACGACGGAAAUGUUCAAACUUUCCAACACUCAAGCUUUUUGUAAACAAGUCCGCAGUUUGCUCAUCUGUCUUGACUUGCCUCAUCUCAAUCUCUUCUUGCAGAACUUUUUCCCUAACAAAGUGGUAAUGCACUUCCACAUGUUUAGUUCUUGCAUGAAAAACAGGAUUCUCCGCCAGCCGAAUUGCCGAUUGGUUGUCACAGUACAACAGAACUGCAUAAUCUACUGGUUGAUGUAGAUCAUUCAUUAGUUGUAUCAGCCACGUGCUUUCUUGAGCUGCCAUUGCUGCUGCUCGGUACUCUGCUUCCGUAGUUGACAAGGACACAGUCGGUUGUCUCUUGCUACACCAAGAAAUCGUUCCAGAUCCAAGGGUAAACAUAUACCCAGUAGUUGAUCUGCGAGUAUCGUGAUCUCCUGCAUAGUCAGCAUCACAGUAGCCAACUAGUUUGUAAUUUCCACCUUUCUUGUAUAGAAGACCAUAGUCUAUUGUACUCUUCACAUAUCUGAGUACUCGCCGAACCGCUUCUAAAUGAGACUUCUUCGGAUUUUGCAUGUAUCGACUCAUCACACCAACUGCAUAAGAAAUGUCAGGUCGAGUCAAGGUUAAGUAGAUUAGACUACCCACUAAUUGUCGAUACAUCGAUGCAUCUUCCAGGUCUUUGCCUUCAUGUGCACACAUCUUGGCAUUUGGUUCCAUCGGCGUUGAGAUCGGCUUACAUUCUAGCAUCCCAAACUUCUUCAACAAAUCUUUGGCAUAUUUCUGUUGACAAAGAAAUAUCCCUUCUUUCAUCUGAUCAACCUCUAGCUCAAGGAAAUGCUUAAGUUGUCCAAGUUCUUUCAUUUGAAAACGAACUGACAAGUUCUCCUUUGUUCGGAAAAUUUCUUCAAUAUCAUCUCCAGUGAUGAUUAGAUCAUCUACGUACACGAGCACAAUAGCUAUCCUUUCUCCAUUAGCUUUAGCAAACAAGCUGGAGUCUGCAGAUGUUACUGAAUACCCACUUUGAGUUAGAAAUUCAGCAAUCUUGCCAUACCACGCCCUGGGUGCUUGUUUUAGUCCGUAGAGAGCCUUUUGCAGCUUACACACAUACUCAGGAUGACCUCGGUUCUGAAAACCCAUCGGUUGAAUCAUGUAGAUCUCCCGAUCCAGCUCUCCAUGGAGAAAGGCAUUCUUCACGUCCAUCUGCCACAAGUUCCAGCUUUUGUUGGCUGCAAGUGCAAGUAAGACUCGGACGGUUGUAAGUUUUGCCAUUGGACUAAACGUUUCGUCAUAGUUUAGUCCAUAUUGUUGAGAGAAACCACGAGCUACCAAUCGAGCCUUGUACCUCUCGAUUGACCCAUCUAGACGGUGCUUUAUUUUGUAAACCCAUCUGCAGGAUAUGGGUUUCACAUCUUUUGGCUUUGGCACGAGUUCCCAGGUCUGAUUUUGCUCAAGUGUAGUGAUCUCGUCUUUCAUAGCUGUCAUCCACUCAGAACUCUGUGAUGCUUCUUCGAAUGUCUCAGGUUCUAUUCCAGUUGCUUCUUCAACUAUGGCUGCAUUAGCGUAUUUGGGAUUUGGCCUUCGGGUUCUUGUUGACCUUCGUAAUGGAGUUGAUUCUUCCGUUUCACUAGGCACACCUUCUUCAUCUGGUUGUCGAUACACCCCAGAUUGCCAAGGAUUUAGAGUUACUCUUCGUUCGCUAUCACUAUCGCAUAGAUCCCCAGCUGAGCUUAGAUGAAUUUGGACAGUAUGCUCCCCCAUCUUUUGUUGUAGCAUGUCUUCGAAUUCUUUCGAGUCUGGCAGCACUUCUUUUUCUGAGGUCCACCAUGAGGAUGCUUCAUCAAACACCACAUCUCGUGAUGUGUAGCACCUUUCAUUUACUGGAUCACAACACUUCCACCCUUUUCGCUGGUUGUCGUAUCCUACAAAGAUACAUCUGACAGCUUUCUUAUCGAUCUUGCUACGUAGAUGGUCAGGAACAAAUACAUAGCAUACACAGCCGAAUACUCGAAGAUAGCUAACUGUAGGUUUCUUGUUCCACAAUUUCUCAAAGGGUGAAACAAACUCCAACCUUGGUUGAGGAAGCUUGUUGAUGACAUGAGCUGCAGUUCUCAUACCUUCGGCCCAAAAUCUUCCAGGUACAUUCUUCGCAUGUAGCAUACUCCGGUAAAUUUCAGCAAGAUGCCGAUUCUUCCUCUCUGCUACACCAUUUUGUUGUGGCGUAUUAGCACAAGUAUACUGAUGACGUAUUUAGCAUUCCCGUAGGUAUUGAGAAAACUCUCUCGAGCUAUACUCACCCUCGUUGUCUGUGCGCAAGCAACGAAUCUUUUGCUCCACUUCUCCUUCGACUAUCUCUUUGAACUCUUUGAACUUUGAGAAUGCUUCAGAUUUUUCUUUCAUGAAGAAAGCCCAUACAUAUCUGGAGAAAUCAUCAAUGAACGUAACCAUAUACCACAUUCCGCCAAUUGAUGGUUGCUUAACGGGUCCAAACACAUCAGAGUGAAUUAACUCUAAUGGUUUAUUUGCUUUAAACUUCGACUCCUCGUAUGGCAAUUGAUGUGCUUUACCAUAUUGACAUCCCGCGCAAACAAUAUUUGUUCUCACGUCAAGUUGAGGAAGUCCUUUAAGCAUCGACUUCUUCACCAUCACACUUAGCUUGGAAUAAUUAACAUGACCUAGCCGCAUGUGCCACAGAUCUGCCGUCUCAUUCCUUCUUGUCUUGUCUACGUAUGCAGACUCAGCUGACAUCACAUAAACUGACUCCAAUUGUCGUCCCUCCAUCGUAGGCUUUUCUGAGAUCUUUAAGUCUCGGAAUACCUUCACAUUUUGUGGACCAAACAAGACAUAGUGGCCUGAUGAUGUCAAUUGAGCUACGGAUAGCAAAUUUUUCUUCAUUCCUGGAACAUGGUAGACAUCUUGAAGUGGCACUUGGUUGGGACUAUAUCGAGGUGUAACGAUCGCUUUACCGAUGUGAGCUAUCGGUAACCUUGAGUUGUCAGUUGUUACCACCACACGAUUUCCCUUGUACUCAGAACAAUUUUGCAACUUCUGUCUAUCACCCGUCAUGUGAUUUGAGCAGCCUGAGUCUACGAUCCAAUCAUUCUCGUAGUUAAUCUUUUCUGGUGUUGUUACCGUGAGAGCUAAUUCUUCUUCCUCCAUAGCGAGUAAUGCUUCGGCAUCCCAGUUAUCUUCACUAUCUUCUUUAGAACUAGAAGUAGCAAUAUUGCUUUCGGUAGACUUCUUUUUGGACCAACAAUCUCUCUUCAUGUGGCCCUUCUUCCCGCAAUUGUAACAUUCGCCAUCAAACUUUCUAUUACUGUCGCGAUUCUUCGAAGCUCCCCCUGGACGAGAGCCAUUCCCUCCCUGAUGACUUUUUGUCUGUUCACCAGUCUUUCUAGAUCCGCCUUUGUUGUGCUGUCUUGAACCACCUCUGCUUUGGUUGGUGUAAAGCGCUUCCUCUUCACCCUUUAGUGAGACUCCUCCCAUUUUCUUGGCCAUAGCUUCUUGGCCUGUCAGCAAAUUUUCAAACUCAACAAGUGAUGGUUGUGUCGGCCAUCCUUGCACAGCGGCUACAAAGCUUCGGUAUUCGGGUCUCAAGCCAUGGACAAUUAUUCUUUUUAUCCUGGCUUCCCCAAUAGCAGCUAUUGGAUCUAAUUCUGAAAUUUCACGGCAUAUCGACUUCACCUUGUGAAAGUAUUGGGCAAUCGCCAUGUCGCGUUGCGCCAUUGAUAGAAGUUCAUUCUCGAGAAGUUGCAAUUUUGUAUCGUUCCUCUUCGAAAAGAGUGUAGCGAAGGUGUCCCACGCUUCCUUCGGUGAUUUAGCAUCCCGAAUGUGCUCCAACAUUUCUUCUUCUAUUGUGGUCUUUAAAGCAAACAUUGCUUUGCCUGCUUUAAUUUUCCACUUCCGCAAGACGCCGUUAGCAUCUUCCGCUGCCGGUUGUGUAACUUCACUACCACCGACAACCUCCCACAAGUCUUGACCUUGAAGGUAAGACUCUAUACACGUUGCCCACGUGUUAUAGUUUUGGUUGUUGAGCUUUUUGAUUCCUCCAACAACUUGAAGAUCACCCAUCGUAUCGGUAUCGACAAGACUUUGACUACACCGAACAAGCUUGAGUGACUACCGUGCAGAGUAAUACACUACUCUUGACACAAAGAAGCUCCCUCUCAAGGUUUGUGAUAACCCCAGCAAUAAUCUCAAGAAAUCUUUUCUGAUGUGGAAGAUCAGUCAAAACUGCAACCACAGAGCAUACUCGGAAUUUCAAGAGACUUUACAACCAAUGCUCUGAUACCAAAUGUUGAAUCAAAAUAGAGUAAAAACUCUAAUUGAUCAAGAAGAAGAAAAACUCUCUUUAGAAUAAUCUCACAAAAUUGCAAAAGAGAAGAACUCUUAAGAAAACUUUCAAAUGCUUAUAAUAAAGCUUUGAUUGUUAAAUUAUAAAACUCAAAUACAAAUAAGGUAUUUAUAGGUUACAAGAAACAAUCUAAACCACUCAUUAAAAUAACCACAAACUAAUUUAAACCAUUGAAAUUAAACAUGAGAAAAAUACCUAAUUUUCACCUAACUAAAUUGAUGUAAGCAAUGACAUCAAAUUAAUUUGGGUGUGGACUUAUUUGGGCUAAUAUUGACUUCUCAACAUGCUGGUGGCGGAAAUGUGAGAGGGAAUGGUGAGGGUAGAUUUGUAAUUACGAGAAGCGAUUUGCUUGCAUAAUUUAAUGCAUGGAAAUAGAUGUCCCUGACCAAAGAAUGGGACAAUCCAAAUCUCGGCCUCAGCAGCGCUGCAGCAGUAGCAACAGAGCUUGACAUCUUUUUGAAUUAUUUGAUACUUAAUUGUUACUGUUUGCUUUUACCAUCUUUCAUAAAACACUCUUUGUUAUAUAUAAAGGGAUGACUUAAUGGAGAAGUAAGUGUUUUAGUUUUACAGUUUUACUAGUAGGUGAGCUCGGAGUUUGAUAAUUUGAUUGUUAGUUUUAGUUGGUUAGUUAUGAGAAAGCAUCUUUAAGAAAAUUCAUUCCAGUUUCAACUAAAAUUAAUAAUAUUGUUCAAAUUAAUUACUCGAUAAAUAAAUAAUUAGAGAUAAAUUUAUCCCUAAUCUCACAUUUAUAAAAUAAGGAUUGAAAUAAGUUUUUGUGGGUUCGAACUCAAGCCCUCAAGUCGAGCGGCUGGAUCUUGACUACUUUGACUUAAUUAUUAUUAUUAUUAUAUAUAUAUAUAUAUAUUUUUUUUUUCAUUCUGUCACGGAACAUCUUUUGUUAUAUAAUGAAGAAGAUAAGUUGACGAAGAAGAGUUCUACUUUUACUAGUAGAUGAGCUUUGAGUUGACAACGUUAGUUUUAGUUAGUGAAAUAUCUACCAUCCAAAUCAACGUUCUUUAGACUAUUAUUCAAGUGAGAUGUCUGAGUAACAUACGCUUGAGUUGGUCGGUGCCUGGCAAUUCGUGUGAUACAUGAAACCAACCGAUAUGAAAACCAAAUCAAGUUGGUAGGAUUACAUUAAUUUAAAUUAACUUUCAAGUUCUAAUAUUAUAAGAUAAAUAAAUAGCAUAAAAUAAUUUUUAUUUUCAAGUAAAUAUGUUUAUCGUUUAAAAAUUAUUUUUUCUUGCGGUAAAUGCAACACUAAAUAAGGAGUGAAUAGGGUAAUUUGUAGGGUAUACCCCCACCUUUUAUUUCAUUUCAUUAUUAAAAAAUAAAGGCUUGAUUCAACAUUCAAGUAAAAUUAACAAUUCCAUGAUAAAAUUGCUUGAGAAUAAGAAUUAAAAUAAAAAAAGAAAACAGCAACUCAAAAACGACAUACAAAUACCGCAUAGAGGUUUUUCGUCGCAAGAUAUUUUUGGGUUGAGCAACACUUGUAUAACAGAGCAUACAGACUGAAUGACGGUGAGAAUAAGAAGGAAAACGGCGCCACACACCGAAAUGCCAGCCCAUGGAGUAUUGAAGUAAUUUUGUUUCAAGUUUGCCCUCCAUUUGUAGCACGUUCUUUUGCAGUGAUCAUUCAAUCCUUUGCAUAGCCCAGAAAAAUAGAAGCUAUCAGACAGCAGAGUAGUACCUCUAGAAAGGUUAUUUAUAAGCAUUGACGCAGUCUCUUUAUCCGGCAACCGGUUCUCAAUGAUUCCGUUCUGAACAAGCAACUCGACGUCCUUCGCUGUGUUCACGAGAUGAUGAAUAAGGAACACAUAAUCAUUUAUGUAAUUCUCUGAGUAAUGCCGUUGUUCAAAGGCAAUGAGAUUACGAAAUAAGGAUUCCGUUUCCAGCUGUAGCUUCAGUUUCGGAAUAUGCAAUGUCCUGUUUUUGAAUUCUAUGGCGAACAAAUCAUUGCUCUUGCUCAAACUGAAGUGGACUCCAGCUUGGUGGAGAUCAGUCACACUUGGUGCGGUUUUGCCUUUGUGGUAUUGCUGACCUUCUUGUUUUUCCUGAUUCCUCGAUGAUGGUAGAUGACAAAUCCUUAGAAAAUCAAGGAAAUGCUCGACCCUAACCUCAGUGUAAGGAGGGAAUUUUUGCUGAUUACCUUGUACUGCCUCUAAACCCUUGAAAUACUCGUAUGUGACUGUGAUGAUGGUUGGAUUUUCAUGUUGGUCGGGGAUUUCAAUAGCAAAAAGAUCCUCAAGAAUGAAGAAAGGAAGCUGAUUCUCAAGCAACCACAUAUCAUACCAUAUAUCCUCUAUUAAAUAGGGUUUAAGAAAUAUAUAAUCAUCUUUUUUUUGAAGUUGACGGAAAUGAUGCCUCAAUAAGAGUUCAAUGAUGAAGGCAGCAUCCAGCAGAAUCAUUUCAACAAAUUUAUCACUACUUAGUUCGACUUUUUCUGCAUAAGAACCUCGUAAUUCUGCUUCUCUGAGCUUUAUAAUUUGAACAAACUCGUCAAAGCUUAUUUUGGUCCGUUGAAGAAAGUAACGCAGGUACCGCUGUUUAUGUUCUUCCAUGAACUGUAAGUUUGCUUUGCCAUGGUGAAGAGGGCCAAUUGAGACUACCUGAGCUGUAUAUGCCUUUUCAUUUAUCUGACGUAAUCGCUCCGGAACUCUGUAGAUGCAGCAGUUUGAGGGCAAUGGUGAUAAUUUUUCCAACUUAACUUGCAAGCACUCUUCCAUGUUAUAAACUGAAAACAUGGCGCGAAAUUUGAUCAAUUCACUAGUUUAUAUAAUAUUCUUGAACCUCAUCUUAAGCAAAGCAACAAAAGCCUUCACUGUUUCUUAACAACUUUAUUGCUCUAACACAUAGCAUAACAUUUUUAAAUUUGCAUAAAGCACAAUAGUACUUUAGUUUGUAACAACAGCACAGAUAAUAAAUAGCAUUUUAUAGCUUUAACAAAAGCAUACAAAAUUCUUAAACCUUGUUUCAAGCAAUUCAUUAAUGCCACAAGGAUGUCUUUUUGCUUCCUACAGUUUUUAUUGAAAUUCAUAUAUUCUUCUUUAUCAAAUUAAGUAAUUUUCCUUUUUCAAAAAAUCAAGAAGGUUUCGACUGCAUGGAAAUACAGCACACAAUUACUACUAUUCCCGGAGUAAGAAAUUCAUAAAUGCAAUAUAAACAUACAUUUUCAUAAGACAUCAGAAUCAAAGAAUCAUCAAUGCAUCAAAUCUGUACACCCAAAAAAGUUGAAAGCACCAAGAGAAAAUUAUACCGCAUGGACCCUUUACAACCCUUAUAACGAGUUCAGACAGCUACAAUGUGCAAUACAAAAUUUCCCAAUACUAUUUAGAACAAAGUCUAGAAAACAAAACUUAUAUAUUGUACAAAAUCAUGAAAACCAGAAAUGACAAAAAACCUGCAAAUGUAAUUUUUGGGUUUCUUCAACAUAUCUUCCAUCCAAAUCAAACAAGAAUCGAUAAAUCAACAACAUUCAUCUUUAAAUGACAUAUUACCACAAUAAAAUUGUCAACCAAGCCUCAUAUAAACCUUUUUUGUGUUUUGUGGUAAAUAUAUUUGUUAUUCUCUAAGAAUACUAGGGAAAAAAGAAACCCACUUUCUUAAUCAAGAAUCAAAUAAUAUAUAUUUAUCUAAGCUGAAGUAAGUCUUCGGUUUGAUGAAAUAGCUUGCAAUGUGAUUUAGAUUGGAAAGGAAGUUGAUUUUUGCUGGUUGAGAGAGAGAGAUUUGAGACUUAAGAGUGUUGCUAAUCUUCGAUCGUGUAAACAAGGGUAACUGGGUCAUAGUUCAAAAUAAGGGUCCAAAAUUUACUAAAGCUAUUAAGGAGCCCAAAACUCAUAAUGGCUUGCCCAAAAUAAAUAAAAUUUUCGAGCAUUAAGUUUUUGUUUCUUCUUGAGAUUUCCUUGCCGUACUUACCCAUAUUUCGAUAUUGCCUCCAAGUAAACUUAUAUAUAUUGAUUAACAAUAUAAACAAGCACUAUGAAGUUUUAGGCAUGAAAGAACAUUAGGAUUGAAAUGAAAACCAUCUAUUUAAGUAACAAAUUCUUCUGAUAAUUUGAUGCUUAAUUUAGAGCAGAGAUGACAUAUCAAUCACGUUAUGAUGUGGAAGUUAUGAUUAUAUUCAUCUUAAGAAUAAGAUCUUUCAGACACUGGCAGAUUAGUAUAAAAAAUACUCAGCAUAAGACCUACAAACUAGAAAUCACGCACCAAUUAUUGAACUCAGCACAUAAGUUGAUCUUUUAUAAGCUAUAAAACAAAUCUGCUAUAACAUAAGAAAGUGGGAUUUAUCACCAGACAAGUAUUUUGGUGAAAUUCAAGCUGACGGAAGGAUAUCCAAAGCAACCUCCUUAAGGGAAGGCAUCACUUCCUGCUGAUGCAAACAUGUAUAUUUAUUACUCACUUUCUUGAGGACCUUCUAGGAACCUGGGCAGCACCUAACAGAAAGUGGAAAAGAAUAAAAUGUAAAAUAUAAGUUAAACAGCAGGAAAACAGUGAGUGAUACUAGGCAAGCAUUAAUAUGUUGCCGCAGGAAAAGUGUCAGUAACUAGCUAGCAAACCUGAAAAGGGUUCCUCCAUUGUGACCCUUAAAAUUGUGAAUGUAAAAUAUGGUCUCCAUCACAGGAAAAAGUGUUUUGGAUAGUGCAGCCAGCUUAGGGUAGAAGAAUGACGGAUAAUCUUUAGCUCAUUUAAGGAAAUCCUCUCUGAUCCUUUCAUUGCACAUUCCAAAACAACUCUACUACAACCAAGUUACCAAUUCUUUUUGUUAAGUCAUUGUUAUUUGUUAAAAAAAAAAAAUCUUCCUUGCAACAUUUUAUUGAAAGAUAUAACAUGAUCAUCCCUACUAAUUCCCUUUUAGAUUUCUGUGAGUGAAUUUCAAAUUAUUGUAUUCAAAAAUAGAAGCAAAAGACCCACUUUACUUUCAAUUUCUGCAACAAGAUACCAAUUGAAGGACCAAAAAGUUGUAAACAACCAAUUCAAUGGGUGGGCAUCUAGAAACUGCUAUAUAGCAUCAAGAUCAUACUAAAUUUACAGAAAGUACGAUAAUAAUGAAAGAAUGGUGAAGGAUACACCCAGACCUUAUCCGGUCAAGUUCUCCAUUGAAUAUAAUCAGUUUCCGGGCAGUAUUGAAGACAACUUCUUUGUAAAGCUCUUCAACGACAAGCAUUUCUACAAGACAAAAGAAAAGCAAAAUUAAUUACCUUAAGGAAUGAAUAUCAAUGAGAAGACAACGUGUAAGACUACCAUUGACAUUAAAAUAUGGAUACGCGACUAGAAACAAUUCAUCUUCCGGCUUCACACGGUCUGCCUUUUUAACCUUCUCAGUGAAUCCAAAAUCCUCAAAGAAUGAAGGUUUUGUUAGAUAGUCCAACUUAAAUGAUGAUCCUUCAAAGACCUAUUUUCUUGCAAAUUUGACUUCAUUUGCCUCUGGGAAAAACUAAAAACCAAAUGACAGACCAAGAUCACAAAACGAAUCAUGAACAUAGAUAUCAGAUAAUCAGAAAUGGGCAUUAAACAGACUACUAACAAAUAGGAAAUGCAUACAGAAAACAUUAUUCAUACACCUUAUGCACAUGAAAUAUAUAUGCAGUGGGAUCCUCUUGUGAAUUUAGUUUAUAUCCUAAAAUGAGACAAUGAACAAUUGGAUGCCAUCUAAGGGCUAACAUUUGUUUGAUUAUUAUAUGAAAAAAAAAAACAAAACAGAGUUGAUUGAUGGCCUUUGAUGGAUUGCCUACACUCCUAAAGUGCAGAGAGCCUGAUUAAUUGCUUUACCUGCCCCCCACACACACACUUGAUUUUAUUAUCUCUCUUUUCAAAUAUAUAAUCAUUGCCUGUCUUUCAUCCUGAUCCAGCUCUCCUUCCAGGCACCAGCUGUGUUUUCUUCAAUUCAGUGAAGCAUUCACUUUCAGGUAAGAAUAAACUUGUCCUUCCUCAAAAAUCAGCUUCUCACCAUGAAGCUUUCUUUUUCAAAACAAUUACUAGUCUAGCAUAAUGCAUCUAAUUGAAGACAACUCAGAAUUGAAAAAGCCAUACUUUAAUGUCUGCUGUUGGGACCUCAAGACCAGGAAAAAAAAGCUUCUUUCUAACUGUUGGAUUAACAAGUAGAAAUAGCUUUUUUCUGAAGGACCCAACAUUGCAUUGAAAAAUUCAACAAAAGGACUGGCGUCAUAUUUAGUCCUGCUAGAAUUUUGUGCACUUAACACAAUGGUUAAUAAUUGGCCCAGCAGACACUUUGUCGAACUACUGGCAAACCUUGACUGUGGAAAUGCAUAUUUCAAAUGUUGGCAGACUCUAGCUUCUUGAUGUACUGUUGAUAAAAAUGCCUAUUUCAAAAGUUGGCAGGCUCAAACUGCCGAGACUUUGGUUUCUUACAUUUCAAACCCACAAAUAAAACUUUGGCAGAACCCCAGAAAGAGCUACACCUCCCAAAUUUGAUGACAUAUGAAGAGACCAUGCCUAGUGCUUGGUUCGGCAAAUGAGUAAGUUUGAAAUAAAUUGAGGGAAACCUUUCCCACAGAGAGUCAUUUUGAAGGUUACAAUUUGAAGACUUUGUCCCCUGUCGCCCGUAACCUUCUUUGAUCUCUUUUCUUAGUCAUGAAUAAUCAAACAUGUGUUAGUGGUUGGAUGCAAUCCACUCGCUGACAUCUCAUGUCCACAAUCAAUCAACCAUAUUUUAAUAGAAAUGGAAACAUUUUAAUUAAAAAAGAAUGAGAUAGGAACAAAAUCAAGCUUGGCAGACAUGGGUCUAUGAGAUUUUAAAGAUGCUUGGUGAAAGUCGUAUUCAAGAGUUCAACAAUCAGUUCCAUCACCUAUGGCAAAGUAACCACCGCAACUAAAGCAAUUACAAAACAUCAAGAAGCUUGAACUUGGCAAGAGGUCUCAUUAACAGUAUACCUCAGAAAUUAAGACAGAAUUAAAGUGCAAGCUUUUGGAUUUAUUUAAACACUGAAAAUAAUAUGGGUAGAAGCUCCUAUGGUCACAGCAAACAAUUACAAAGCACAAAACCCAAAAAACAGAUAUGCAAAAAGCUGCAAAAGAACAUUAUUAGCAAUUGACAUCUGCUUUUGCUCAGACAAAGGUUCUCAUAACAAAGGACUUAGUGAUUAUCUGUCAUAUGUUUAUGUUAAGGGGAAAAAAGAAGUUUGUUUUAGUCAAUCUCAUGUCUAUUGGCAUUCAUAAGGAGCCCAAAAAUAAAAGAAAAAAUAAAGAGUUAGUAGGUGUUUCUUGCAACACAAAGAAAAUUUAUCAUCCAUGAAAAACUUAGUAUGGAAAAAGCUAACUCAUUUAUCUGCCAAUGCAGAAAAACUUGUUGUCUACCCACUAAGGACCCACCAUUGGCAGGUCUGAUGGAUCCCAUGGAUGGGAACCACAAAUAUUUUAUUCUAAAUGACAUGGGUAUUGCACCCAUAUCAUUUAAUUUGUAGAUUCCACUGAUGGAACUCAUCAAACUUGCCAAAUGGCAAGUCCUCCGUGGGUAGGCGCAUCACUUCAGCAUCCUUCUCCACCGAUGACCAAAUCUGGACUCAUUUAAAAAGAAUACAAAGCAAACUAACUGACAAAAAUUGCAUAUAGAGGUCUAGGAGCCAAAUCAAUGUUGUUAACUCAUCCAAUUAAUACAUUCUCUUAGAGGUCAUACCUUGGUAACUCAUUUCAAAAGAAAUUAAAAGAAAAAUGACUGCACAAAUUGUACUGAGCUCAAGAAGACCUGUUCAAGGUGUUCACUUGUCCAACUAAUAAAAGUCAUCAAGGAUUGUAUCAGGGACUUGGGACCAAUCCUGCCUUAACGAGAGAAAGGGAAUUUAGGAUGAAGAAGAUAACCUCUUUUCCUAGAGCAAAUUAAGCUGGUAAAAUCUUGGCAGUUGCACUUGGGGCAGAAAUUAGUUCCACCUUGGUUUACAGGACAGAAAUUCGUCAUAUGCAUGUAUUUAUUUAUAUUUUAUACACAUACGCAUACAUGUACACACAAACACUACCUUCACUUUGAAGAAAAGAUUAAAAUAACACUGCUCACAUACACAAUACUUACUAUUCUAGUUCGUGUGACUUUCUCCGGAGUCACAAAUAGGUCAAAGAAUUCGCGUAUUAACCGCAUACUUCCAGUCAUUUCUAUUCCUCCUUCACCAUCACCUUUCCCACAAUUACAAAAAGUGAGAGGUAGUAACCAACAUAUUUGGGUUGUUCUUCGGUAAGGGGUGGGAGGUAAGGGUUAGUUGUGGAGGGCACCUGGUACAGAAUCAAGGCCAGCUGUUGGGAAUUUGAUCUCCUGUAACAUAUACUUGUUCAUCAUAAACUAUAUACUUAUUCUGCAGUCGAUGUGGGCAUAUAGCUCUUCAAUUAUCCAGUAAUAACUCACCAUCAACUUCCUGCCAUCCUUCAUGGCUAAUUCAGCAGCUAUUUUUGCCUGUUUAAAGGGCAAAAGCCCAAACUAAGCAGAUGCUCCUACUCCGAUACUUAUUAUCUAACUACUACAGAACAGAUGAUACACAUCAAGUUGUGUCAAGAGAGACACCAAGUUGUGUUUUCCAAGAGGUUCCAAAGAGGUUUUGUGUUAGAGUGCAAUUUAUGCACUAGUUUUGAAUUGUUUACUUCCUUAAUAUCGAUGUUUUGCACUUAAUAAUAGUGAUUUACUUGUGUUUUAUUUUUAUAGGUGCAAUUAUAUUGAUUGGUGCAAAAAUUGAGCUACAAGACGAUGUUUAAGGAUGAUUGUUCUCUUGGAGAAAUUAUGAGCGUCAGAAGAACUUUGUUGAUAAGGCGUGGGCGCGUGCUGUCAACUACGGACCUGCAGUUUUUAGUUUAACGUGUUUUGUAUUUUUGGUUAUUUUUAUAAUUACGAAUUUAAUAUUUCAGAUAUUAGUAUUUUAUUUUAAAUAGAACUCUAGAGGAGAAGAGAGAGAGAGUAUUUAAGGGAAGAAUCUAUUGUGAAAAAAGGGAGAUUUUUGGAAAAGAAAGAAACCCUAGAUCUAAAUUUUUCUCUUCUCUCCAUGAAGAACUAAAUCUAUUAUUCUGUUUGAAGGUUAAUGAAGCUUUUAUUCAUCACUACUGUGAGAUCUUUCUUAUGCUUUAAUUGUUUUAUUGCUUUUUGGGUAUUUGUUUAUUCUCUGAAUUAUUUUCAUGAUUAUGUUUGUUAAUUAGAUAAUUGGCUACUAUUUAAUUAUCAACUUAAUCUAUUGUCAAUUAAAGGAUUCAUCGUAUGAAGAUUUUAAUGUUUGUGACAAAUAACAUAGCAGAGAGUUGUGUUGUGAGAAUAAACAAUCUAAUUUAAAUGAACCAUCGUAUGUGUUUGUUGAUUAGGAUUUGGGUCUCUCUGGUUUUUCAAGCUGUCAAUUGAUUAAAUCCUAUGAUCGUAUCUAGGGUUAUCUAUUGAUUAGGGAAAUAACCAACGGUCAUACCUUGGUUAUCGACUAAUUAAGGAGAUAUUGGCUAUUAGAGGGUCUCAGUAGCUAUAACCGGUCUAUUCAUAAGUAGUAAUAAUUUAUAUUUGAAUCAAUGAUCAGUAGUCGAAUCAAGCUGAGUUAAUUCCUUCAACCAGAGCUUUCUCCAAUUUGAAUUACAACUUUAAUUUGCAUUCUUGUUAUUUUAAUUUGAUUGUUAUUAUUGUCACAAAACCCUCAUUUUAUAUUUUACGUUUUAAAAGGAUUUAAAUAAUUACCGAUCUCUGUGGACACGACUUUGCUCAAUCACUAUACACAAUUUAUUUAGAGUAGGUAUUUAUUUUUGUUGGCUUCGACAACCUUCAAAUUUUGGCGCCGUUGCCGGGGAUUGGUGUCAUUUAUUUAAUCCUUUUUACGUUUUACUUGGUGUAUGGUUCGUUCUUCUUGUACAGGUACACUUUCGUUUGAUCCUUAAAUUGAGAAGACAGCUCGCCAGCUGAGACAGCAGACGAAGCGAGCUAAGCAACGACACUCAUCGCCUUGCUUUCUGAAACAGAUACGGUGCCUGAUUUAGUUGAAUCAUCAAGCGAUUUAGAAGAACAAGUGAUGGAUAGAGCUGCACCUGUAGAAAGAACUCUUAGAGAGUUAGCCGAACCAGACUUGAAUCAGCAACCACUCUACAUUCAAUAUGUAGACUUGGAGGUAAAUUUUGAAUUAAAGUCUGGUCUUAUUCAUUUAUUACCCAAGUUUCAUGGUUUUGCAGGUGAAGAUCCUCAUAAACAUCUCAAGGAGUUUCAUGUUAUGCGUUCAAGUAUGAGGCCACAAGGCGUGACUGAAGAGCAAAUUAAGUUGUGUGCUUUUCCUUUCUCUUUAGAUGGGCUAGCUAAAGACUGGUUGUAUUACUGUUAGAGUGCAACUUAGCAUAUAAUUUUUUAGGCAAGAAAGAUCACUCAGGAGUUUUCUCUAAAACUGAAUUUUAUUUUAUCUGGUGCAUGUUAAAUGAUGUGAGGCCUAAUUUAGGUUUUUGGUUAGCAGAUCAAUUUCAAAGUGUGCUUAAACGGUAUAGGACUUUAUUUCUUGGUCCAUACAUUACUCUGUUAGCUAUAAACCUAUGUGUGCUUGAUCCUGACAAUAAUGAUUUGCAUCCUGCUUGCAAAAAAGAAUUUUUGGAUAUGUUUAUGUUUGAAAGAACAGGUGUGGUCGAAUUCAAGGAGCGGAGAUUUCAGUUUACUAAACCAGGGCCCACUCAACCUCCGAAGAAGCUUUAUGCUAGGAGUGGUGCUACCUCUGAUGACGAGUUUGACGACGACACUGCUGCCCCGCCAACUAUUCCUUCUACAUCCGCACCACCUUUGAGCAUUCAGUUAGAGAAAAUGGAGCACAAGCUGAAUAAGAUGGAGCAAAAUUUGGCCACAUACUUCGAGAAUGUGGGAUUUACCUCACCAUUUCCGCCAAGCCAAUAGACGUUAUGUGGAUCAAAGCUCACAAUUCAGGGAAGUUUUUUUUGCCUUUAAUCUUUUAUCCUUACGCUUUAAUUUUUAUGUGAGCUUUGAUUAUCUUACAUUGGGGACAAUGUAAGUUCUUGGUGUGGGGGAGGGAUUUUUGCAUUAUUGAUGUCUGGAAUUAUUAUUUUCACUCUACUCAUCUAUUUUCACUCUACUCGUCCUUAAAUGAUUUUGGAGUUAGUAUGCUUCAUAUAUUAUUAAUUUCCUUUUCCUUUCUCUCUCACUACUCUUUUCCCAUCUAUCUCAAAUUAUUUACAUCUAUUUUUUUUUCUAUCAUACUCUUUCAUCACUUACAUUUUAUCUUUCAUUUUUUUACUACAUACAUCUUUCUCGCUUAUUAUUUUUUUACCUUUCUUUUUAUAUCUCACUCAUACCUUCUUCUCAUUCUACACCACUCUUGAUGGUUGAUUCAUUUGAAGAGUGUACAUGAUUUGAUGGCAAAUUUACCAACUUUGUGAGGAUUUGAGCCUGUGAGCAACCACUUUGCUCUAAUUAUUUUUGUUAUGUGAAUAUCAAUCUUAGUUUGUAUAUUCUAGAACUUGCUUUGUUAAGCAUGUUGAAGCCACAUUACGGGAUUUUAUGCAUUAAAAUGAUAAGGGCAAACCAUUUACCAUUUUUCUAUUCUCGCAUUUUCUUUUUUCUCUACCCGAAGACCUUUAUUUGCUACCUUUGUUUGAGCCUUAACCAUUACCCAUCUAAUUCUUUCCAUCUACUUAACCAUUUUUCUUCUUUUUGAGCCUAAUUUAAGGAGAUAUUUGGACUCAUUGUGUGGAUAUAUUUUGUUGCUUUUUCUACCUUGUAUUAAAGUUUCUCAAUUAGAUCAACAAGCAUUAUGCUUGAAUUAAAUUGUGCAAGGUUCGUUUCUUUUGUUUGAUUAAAAAAAAACAACAAAAAAAAGGAAAAAGAAAAAAAAGUGAAAAAAAAAUCGAAAAAAAAAAUUGAAAAAAAAGGUUUACAUUCUUGGUGACUUGAGUAGAAAUAAGCAUUUUGAUAUCAUAAGUUCAUUCAAUGAGUUCAUUCUUCUCAUUUUGAUCUCUUUUUCUUUCAUAAACCUUUCUUUUUUAUUUAACCUAUUUAACUCCAUUACAACCCUUUUAAGACCCUUAAUUUUUUGCAUUUUAUUUAUGUUUUAUGGAUUGAGAUGUGAUAUAUGAGCAAGCUUAUGGUAAUAGCAUUCUUUGAUUUGAUUUGAGUGAAUAAAUGACACCCUAAACACUUUGAGUGCAUGGAGUGAAGUCAAUGAGAGGGCUAUUAAAUCUUGUUGCACUUGAAUUUUGAAUGGAUCUUCUUGGUGGUUGAAUGUUCUUAUUCUAUCUUAUGAGAUUCUAUGCUUUAAAAUCCUUGCCUCUCGAAUGUUGAUCGACUUAAAUUCUUGAGGUAUGCUUGCUUAAAAUUGUUUUUGGAUGAGUUGAGAUGAAAAUUGAGUGGAGAUUUGGGAUUAGUCUUGAGUUAUAUGCUUGAGGACAAGCAUCAUCUUGGUGUGGGGAAUUUGUUAGAGUGCAAUUUAUGCACUAGUUUUGCAUUGUUUACUUCCCUUAAUAUCGAUGUUUUGCACUUAAUAAUAAUGAUUUACUUGUGUUUUACUUUUGUAGGUGCAAUUCUAUUGAUUCUUGAUAAAAUUGAGUUAUACGAUGAUGUUUAAAGAUGAUUGUUCUCUUGGAGAAAUUUAGAGAGUCAUAAGAACUUUGUUGAUACGGCGUGGGUUCUUGCUGUCAACUGCGGACCUGCAGUUUUUAGUUUAACAUGUUUUGUAUUUUUGGUUAUUUUUGUAAUUAUGAAUUUAAUAUUUCAGAUAUUAGUAUUUUAUUUUAAAUAGAACUCUAAAAGAGAAGAGUGAGAGAGUAUUUAAGGGAGGAAUCUAUUGUGAAAAAGGAUUUGGAUUGGAGAAAAAGAAAGAAACCCUAGAUCUAAUUUUUCUCUUCUCUCUAGGAAGAACUAAACUUAUUUUUCUGGUUGAAGGUUAAUAAAGCUUUGAUUCAUCACUACUGUGAGAUCUUUCUUAUGCUUUAGUUGUUUUAUUACUCUUUGGGUAUUUGUUUAUUCUCUGAAUUAGUUUCAUGAUUAUGUUUGUUAAUUAGGUAAUUGGCCACUAUUUAAUUAUCAACUUAAUCUAUUGUCAAUUAAAGGAUUCAUCGUAUGAAGAUUUUAAUGUUUGUGACAAAUAACAUAGUAGUGAGUUGUGUUAUGAGAAUAAACAAUCUAAUUUAAAUGAAUCAUCAUAUGUGUUGAUUAGGAUUUGGGUCUCUCUUGUUUUUCAGGCUGUCAAUUGAUUAAAUCCUAUGAUCGUAUCUAGGGUUGUCUAUUGAUUAGGGAAAUAUCCAACGGUCGUACCUUGGUUAUUGACUAUUUAAGGAGAGAUUGGCAAUUAGAGGGUCUCAAUAGCUAUAACCGGUCUAUUCAUAAGUAAUAAUAAUCUAUAUUUGAAUCAAUGAUCAGUAGUCAAAUCAAGCUGAGUUAAUUUCUUCAACCAGAGCUUUCUCCAAUUUGAAUUACAACUUUAAUUUGCAUUCUUGUUAUUUUAAUUUGAUUUUUAUUAUUGUCAACAAAACCCCCAUUUUAUGUUUUACGUUUUAAAAGGAUUUAAAUAAUUACCGAUCUCUAUGGACACGACCCUGCUCAAUCACUAUACACAAUUUAUUUAGAGUAGUAAUUUAUUUUUGUUGGCUUCGACAACCAUCAAUUACUUGCCACCUGGAUCGAUUACAACAUGGAAUGGUUUGAAGAAGCAGUUCCUUGAGAAGUACUUUCCUGUUGUAAGAGCUGCCAACAUCAGAAAAGUCAUUUGUGGGAUCAGACAACUUCUUGGGGAGACUUUGUAUGAGUAUUGGGAGCGAUUCAAACAAUUGUGUGCCAGCUGUCCUCAGCAUCAGAUUUCUGAUCAACUUCUUAUUUAAUAUUUUUACGAAGGACUGUCAUUGAUGGACAGGAGUAUGAUAGAUGCUGCUAGUGGAGGUGUGUUGGUGAACAAGACCCCUACUCAAGCAAGGGAGUUGAUUGCAAAUAUGGCUGCCAAUGCACAACAAUGUGGCAGCAGGUAAGAUCUCACUUCAAGGAAGGUGAAUUAGGUAAAUAUUUCUUCUGUUGAACAACGUUUAGAUAAACUUACUUCUCUUGUGGAAAAGUUUGUUGUAGGUAAUGUGCAACAGGUGAAGACUUGUGGCAUUUGUUACAAUAUGGGUCAUUCAACCGAUAUGUGUCCUACAUUUCAAGAAGAACCCGUUGAACAAACCAAUGCAGUUAGAGGAUUUCCAGGCAUGCCUUAGAGGAGGUAUGAUCCUUAUACACAAACAUACAAUCCGGGAUGGAAGGAUCAUCCCAACUUCAGCUAUGGAGUUAGACCAUCAUGAUUCCCGCAACAGUAUCCACCAAGACAACCAGCACCUCCACAGUCAAACUCCAAGUCAGGUAUAUCUCUUGAAGAAAUUGUUAAAUCACUUGUGACUAACACUCAACAAUUUCAACAGGCAACUACAGCAAGCAUUCAGAAUUUGGAGAACCAAAUGAGUCAAUUGGCGACUACAGUGAGCCGUCUGGAGUCUCAAGUAUUAGGGAGAUUGCCUUCACAAUCUGAGGUGAAUCCAAAGUAAAACGUUAGUGCUGUCAUCCUUAGAAGAGGGAAGGAGUUGCAAGAUCCCAGUAAGAAAGUGACAAAGCAUGUAGAAGAUGAGUUUGAGAAGAAUGAAUUGAUGCCUAAAUCUCAAGAUGCGCAACCCACCAAAGCGAAACCCCUACCUAUUGUGAUACCUCCUCCUUUCCUAAGCCGGUUUGCAAAAUCCAAGAAGGAGGAACAAGAGAAAGACAUCCUUGAGACAUUUCGCAAGGUUAAGGUAAAUAUUCCUUUAUUAGAUGCUAUAAAACAAAUACCUCGAUAUGCUAAAAUCCUUAAGGAACUAUGCACCUCCAAGAGAAAAGUAAGAGGAGAUGAAAAAGUUCACAUGGGGGAGAAUGUUUCAGCAAUUCUCCAAAAGAAACUACCUCCUAAGUGCAAGGAUCCAGGUAUGUUUACUAUCCCUUGUAAAAUUGGUAGUGUUAGAGUUGAAAAUGCUAUGUUAGAUCUAUGAGCUUUUAUUAAUGUCAUGCCUCGUUCCAUUUAUUCAUCUUUGAAUGUUGGGCCAUUAAAAGAAACUGGCGUGAUAAUUCAACUAGCUGAUAGGUCUAAUGUAUAUCCUGAUGGGGUAUUAGAAGAUGUUUUAGUACAAGUUAAUGAGUUGGUUUUUCCUGCUGAUUUUUAUGUACUUGAUAUGGAAGAGGAUAACUCCUCUAAUUCUGUCCCAAUUUUGCUAGGAAGACCUUUUCUUAAGACUGCUAGGACUAAAAUGGAUGUACAUAAAGGGACUCUCACUAUGGAGUUUGAUGGAGAGGUUAUAGAAUUCAAUAUGAAUGAUGCCAUGAAAUAUCCUAGUGAAGAACAUUCGGUAUUUUCUGUGGAUGUUAUUAACCCUAUAGUGCAGGAAGUUUUUUACAAGAAAAAGACGAAGAUAUUUCAUGAUAGAAUGAUUUUGAGAAAGGAGUUCUUUGUUGGUCAAAAAGUUCUUCUUUUUCAUUCUGAGCUUAAACUUUUUCCGGGUAAAUUACGUCCUUGCUGGGUUGGACCUUUUAUUGUUACUAAUGUUUUUCCUCAUGGUGCAGUUGAGAUUCAGAGUUCGACCUCUGACAAAGUUUUUAAGGUUAAUGGUCAUCACUUAAAACCUUUUUAUGAAGGUUUUUCGGUGAAUAUUGUGGAGAAUGUGGCUCUCGAGAGUCUCAAUUAUGGAGAUUGAUGCAUAAACGUGUCUAGCCAAAGACAUAAAACAAAGGCGCUUUUUGGGAGGCAACCCAAAUGAUUUAUUUAUUUUGGUUUUUGUUAUAUCUUCUUUUAGUUUUGAUUCAGAUUAUUUUUUGAAAAAAAAUAAUGUGUUUGCUUAUUUUGGUCAGAAGAAAAUUUUUGAUAAGGCGUGCUCACGUCUUAACUAAUAAGUACUUCUGUGAUUUUUAAAGUAAAAUGGUUUUAAGGCGUGCCCACGUGCUUAUUAGAAAAGUACUUCUGAAUUUUUUUUUAGUGUCUCAAAGUGAUUCAUCACUAAAAAAAAAUGAAAAAAAAAAUUAUUUAUUUAUUUAUUGAUUUGAAAAUUAAAAAAAAAAGAAAAAAAGAGUUUUUUUCUUCUUUUUCUUCUUUUCUUUCUUAUAUAUAUUUAUUUAUUUUAAAAAAUAAAAAAUCACUAUUCACAAAUCCCUAAUUCAAAAAUUACUGUUGAUUAUCGUUUUCCAGCAGCGCGCCUCGGCUCCAGCCUUCACUGAGCAACCAGCAGCAGCAGACGAGCACGCUCAGCCCCAGCCGCAGCGCGCAGCAUCAGCCCUAGCCGCAGCACACAGCAUCAGUCCCAACCGUAGCGCGCAACGUAACGCAACCAGCGUCACCAGCGCAGUAGAACCAACCCCAACCCGUGCAUCAAGCUACAGCCGAGCAGCAAUCGUCCGCAACCCGCCUACGCACUGUAUUCCAACCGGGUAAAUCGAAAUCCGUGAGUGCAAUUAUUAUAACAAUGCCGAAGAGGAAAGCAUCAACUUCCAAGUCAUCUAAAAAGACACCCGUCGCAAAGAAGUCCAAGAUUGCCGCUCCCACUACGGUUCCAUGGAACACAGUUUCAGAUUCACGCCAAGCCGUGAGACAAAGAACGAAACAUGGAAAGGGCAUGAGUGUUUUACUACUUGCGGAAUCCAAUCUUGGAGGGGGCCUCGCAUUCACGACUCAACAAGAGAAAGAAAGGUACAAAGAUAUUUCCAAGCAAAAAAUACUUCCAGCUAAGUAUAUUCAUUACCCGACUCUUGAAAAAUUGAAUGUUAAGGAUAAUUUUGAUUCUUUGAUAGAUAAGAUUGGUUUGCGUAAGUUUGUUGAUGUUGAUUGUUUGAGUUAUGUUGAGUUGAUUAGGGAGUUUUAUGCUACUUUUCAAUUUAAUAUACCGUAUGAUUUUACUUUGCAUACCCCGGAUAUUAUAAAGUUUAGGUUAAUGGGAUGGAGUUUUUCACACUCGAUCAUAGAUUUUAACCUAGCUUUAGGAUUCAUUGAUGAUGAUUAUUCUUCUAGUGAUGCAUAUUUAGGAACAACUUGUGACUUUAGCGAAAAUUUUGAGCCUUAUGGUCUUUGGCGUAAUUUAUCUGUUGAUCACAAUGCCUAUAACCCAAGUAAAUCAAUGAGUUCUUUCUUACGUGACCCUGUUUUGAAAUGUGUGCAUCGAUUCUUAGCAUAUAAUUUUUUAGGAAAGAAAGAUCACUCAGGAGUUUUCUCUAAAACUGAAUUUUAUUUUAUCUGGUUUAUGUUAAAUGAUGUGAGGCCUAAUUUAGGUUUUUGGUUAGUAGAUCAAUUUCAAAGUGUGCUUAAACGGUAUAGGACUUUAUUUCUUGGUCCAUACAUUACUCGGUUAGCUAUAAACUUAUGUGUGCUUGAUCCUAACAAUAAUGAUUUGCAUCCUGCUUGCAAAAAGGAAUUUUUGGAUAUAUCUGUGUUUGAAAGAACAGGUGUAGUCGAAUUCAAGGAGGGGAGAUUUCAGUUUACUGAACCAGGACCCACUCAACUUCCAAAAAAGCUUUAUGCUAGGAGUGGUGCUACCUCUGAUGACGAGUUUGACGACAAAACUGCUGCCUCACCAACUAUUCCUUCUACAUCCGCACCACCUUUGAGCAUUCAGUUAGAGAAAAUGGAGCACAAGCUGGACAAGAUGGAGCAGAAUUUGGCCGCAUACUUCGAGAGUGUGAGAUUUAUCCCACCAUUUCCGCUAAGCCCAUAGACGUUAUGAGGAUCAAAGCUCACAAUUCAGGGAAGUUUUUGCCUUUAAUCUUUUAUCCUUACACUUUAAUUUUUAUGUGAGCUUUGAUUAUCUUACAUUGGGGACAAUGUAAGUUCUUGGUGUGGGGGAGGGAUUUUUGCAUUAUUGAUGUCUGGAAGUAUUAUUUUCACUCUACUCAUCUAUUUUCACUCUACUCAUCCUUAAAUGAUUUUAGAGUUAGUAUGCUGCAUAUAUUAUUAUUUUUCUUUUCUUUUCCUUCUCACUACUUUUUUCCCAUCUAUCUCAAAUUAUUCAUAUCUAUUUUUAUUUUACCAUAUUCUUUCAUCACUCACAUUUUAUCUUUCAUUUUUUUUCUACAUACAUCUUUCUCGCUUAUUAUCCUUUUUACCUUUCCUUUUAUAUAUCACUCAUACCUUCUUCUCAUUCUACACCACUAUUGAUGGUUGAUUCAUUUGAAGAGUAUACAUGAUUUAAUGGCAAAUUUACCAACUUUGUGAGGAUUUGAGCCUAUGAGCAACCACUUUGCUCUAUUUAUUUUUGUUAUGUGAAUAUCAAUCUUAGUUUGUUUAUUCUAGAACUUGCUUUGUUGUGCAUGUUGAAGCCGCAUUACGGGAUUUUAUGCAUUAAAAUGAUAAGGGCAAACCGCUUUCCAUUUUUCUAUUCUCACAUUUUUCUUCUUUUUCUCCACCCGAAAACCUUUAUUUGUUAUCUUUGUUUGAGCCUUAAACAUUACCCAUCUAAUUCUCUCCGUCUACUUAACCAUUUUUCUUCUUUUUGAGCCUCAAUUUAAGGAGAUUUUUGGACUCAUUGGGUGGAUAUAUUUUGUUGCUUUUUCUACCUUGUAUUAAAGUUUCUCAAAUAGAUCAACAAGCAUUAUGCUUGAAUUAAAUUGUGCAAGGUUCGUUUUUGUUGUUUGAUUAAAAAAAAAGGAAAAAAACAAAAAAAAAAAAGAAAAAAAUGUUUACAUUCUUGGUGACUUGAGUAGAAAUAACCGUUUCGAUAUCAUAAGAUUCAUUCAAUGAGUUCAUUCUUCUCAUUUUGAUCUCUUUUUCUUUCAUAGACCUUUCUUUUUCAUUUAACCCAUUUAACCCCGUUACAACCUUUUUAAGACCAUUAGAUUUUUGCAUUUAAUUCAUGUUUUGUGGAUUGAGAUGUGAUAUAUAAGCAAGCUUAUGGUAAUAGCAUUCUUUGAUUUGAUUUGAGUGCAUAAAUGACGCCCUAAACACUUUGAGUGAAUGGAGUGAAGUCAAUGAGAGGGCUAUUAAAUCUUGUUGCACUUGAAUUUUGAAUGGAUCUUCUUGGCAGUUGAAUGUUUUUAUUCUAGCUUAUGAGAUUCUAUGCUUUAAAAUCCUUGUCUCUUGAAUGUUGAUCGACUUAAAUUCUUGAGGUAUGCUUGCUUAAAAUUGUUUUUGGAUGAGUUGAGAUGAGAAUUGAGUGGAGAUUUGGGAUUAGUCUUGAGUUAUAUGCUUGAGGACAAGCAUCAUUUUGGUGUGGGGGAAUUUGUUAGAGUGCAAUUUAUGCACUAGUUUUGAAUUGUUUACUUCCCUUAAUAUCGAUGUUUUGCACUUAAUAAUAGUGAUUUACUUGUAUUUUAUUUUUAUAGGUGCAAUUCUAUUGAUUGGUGCAAAAAUUGAGCUACAAGAUGAUGUUUAAGGAUGAUUAUUCUCUUGGAGAAAUUAUGAGCGUCAGAAGAACUUUGUUGAUAACGCGUGGGCGCGUGCUUUCAUCUACGGACCUGUAGUUUUUAAUUUAAUGUGUUUUGUAUUUUUGGUUAUUUUUAUAAUUACGAAUUUAAUAUUUCAGAUAUUAGUAUUUUAUUUUAAAUAGAACUCUAGAGGAGAAGAGAGAUAGAGUAUUUAAGGGAGGAAUCUAUUGUGAAAAAAAGGAGAUUUUUGGAAAAGAAAGAAACCCUAGAUCUAAUUUUUUCUCUUCUCUCUAUGAAGAACUAAACCUAUUAUUCUGGUUGAAGGUUAAUGAAGCUUUGAUUCAUCACUACUGUGAGAUCUUUCUUAUGCUUUAAUUGUUUUAUUGCUUUUUGGGUAUUUGUUUAUUCUCUGAAUUAUUUUCAUGAUUAUGUUUGUUAAUUAGAUAAUUGGCCACUAUUUAAUUAUCAACUUAAUCUAUUGUCAAUUAAAGGAUUCAUCGUAUGAAGAUUUUAAUGUUUGUGACAAAUAACAUAGCAGAGAGUUGUGUUGUGAGAAUAAACAAUCUAAUUUAAAUGAACCAUCGUAUGUGUUUGUUGAUUAGGAUUUGGGUCUCUCUGGUUUUUCAAGCUGUCAAUUGAUUAAAUCCUAUGAUCGUAUCUAGGGUUGUCUAUUGAUUAGGGAAAUAACCAAUGGUCAUACCUUGGUUAUCGACUAGUUAAGGAGAGAUUGGCUAUUAGAGGAUCUCAGUAGCUAUAACCGGUCUAUUCAUAAGUAGUAAUAAUUUAUAUUUGAAUCAAUGAUCAGUAGUCGAAUCAAGUUGAGUUAAUUCCUUCAACCAGAGCUUUCUCCAAUUUGAAUUACAACUUUAAUUUGCAUUCUUGUUAUUUUAAUUUGAUUUUUAUUAUUUUCAACAAAACCCCCAUUUUAUAUUUUACGUUUUAAAAGGAUUUAAAUAAUUACCGAUCUCUGUGGGCACGACCCUGCUCAAUCACUAUACACAAUUUAUUUAGAGUAGGUAUUUAUUUUUGUCGGCUUCGACAACCAUCAUUUUGUUUCUUUAUGUAAUUUUUAGACUGCUCUGACAACUCAUCUUAAAGGUGCCACUCAUCCAAUAUGAUAUGGUGACAGUAGUUUAGAGUUUUAAACUAAAUGCAGAGCUAAUAGUAUUUUGGAAAUAUAAUCAUCCUAAGAUACUAACAAAAACAACAACUUCGGUGUAGAGAGAAAAUGAUUUCACAAAAGCAGAUGUUUUGAUUUAAGUCUCCAAAACCCCCACCAAAGAAAUGUUCAACGGAUAUAGAAAUAUGAUCCACAUAUCUGUAACUUAAACUGUGAAAUUUGUUGAUGCUGUUCUAAAAUUGCCACAAUCUAUCUACCCCAUGAAUGUUAUUGGAUAAAACAACAAGCAGGACCCAAUGCCUGUUUUCUAAUAGCUUCAAAAAGGCCAAAUUGGUUUUGAAAUGUCUCCAGCUUUUCAUUUAACAAGUUUAAGGAUCCCUUCGGCAUUGCAAUUGGGGAGCUCAGAUAUAUAAAAGUCUGGUAAACUCUUACAGCCGCAGCUUUUGAGCAAAAAUAAUUUUAUCUCAUAAUAUUUUGACAAAAAACUUAUAUCACCUUUUAUCAGUUUUGUAAAAAAUAUUAUUUAUAAGUCAUAUUUACCAAACACAAUCAACUUUUACAUCACAAUUAUAGCUUCUUUUUUUUCACCACACAUAUACAGUUAAAAUCUACAAGAACUCGAUAUCAAAUAGAUCCUAAAGCUUAAUCUAAUAAAAAGGUAAAUAAACAAAUGCAGAAGCCAGCGUACUUGAUCAAGACGCUCUGAAUAGUCACUGGGAAAGGGAAUAUCGACGUUAAUGGGGUUAUUGCCAUCGCUUGAAACCGAAUUGGUGAGACAAUUGCGUUUUCUUCUGUACGGAGAAAAUGUGACGAUUCUUUGACCACUGAAAAUUUCGAUUCUACAAUUUACCUGCAAUUAGUGACAAUUAUUCCGUUUAGAAACAAUUUUAAAAAAAAUAAAAAGUAAUAAUUACAAACUCAGAGUAUACCUGUGGACGUGGAAUUGAAGAAACUGGAAUAGGAAGCGUAGGGAGGGCAAUGGCUGUAUUGGAGGAUAACGGCAUUUUGAACCUCAAAGUAAAGAGAGAGAGAGAGAAGAAACGCUUCCCUUUCAAAUACCGCGCUCUUUUGUACCUGGGAAUUUAACUAAUUCAUGCGAAUAAAAAAAUUUAUAAAUUUGGUAAAUUAUUUAUUAAAAAAUAUUGAGAGGUUGUGCAUUAUUUUAUUAGUAAUGACAUGGUAAUAAUCAAAUUAGUUAAAUUAAAAUAGUUGUUGACUCAGUAAUUUAUUUUUAUUAUUUUUAUAUAUUUAUUUAAUUAAUUAAUUAAUGUUAUAUCUAUUUAUAUAAAAAUGUACAGUUCUAUCCUCACUCUUAUUUUAUUUUUAUUAUUUUAAAAAAAAUGGUCUGCGUUAUUAAGGUUAAGGGUGACAACUGGGAUUAAUAUACGGUUUAUUCGAGUGCUUAAAACCUAAUAAAUAUCCACUAACUCAUAUAUAGUAAAAAUAUAAUUAUUUUAAAAAAAAUUAAUAUAAACUAAACAAAUUGAUUGGAUUUUGUUUCUCAAGGUACAUCAUUAGAACGUUACUUUUAACUGAACAAAAGCACACAUAACUAGCACAUUCGCCACAAAAGCCUCGGCUUAGUGGUCGGCUUAUUAAUUAUCCUAAUUAAAUCAUGGUCAUAAAUUUGAGUCCCGGCAGGAAUUAUUAGGCUAGGUAGCUUUUAUAGACUACACUAUAAAUACAUGUAUUUUAAUUCUCGCGGGUAUUGCUUCUAGUAGUUAUCCAUCCGAGUAUAGUGCUUUGUAGCUUUCUUCACGACCUUCCCCAAUUUCAAUGAUUGUUAAUCAAUCUUCAUAGAAAAUGUGAUAAGACUGUAUUUAGAGAAAAGCUCAAUAAAUGAUUUUUAUAGGUCAUCAUUUCAUUUAAUUUUCCGUUAUAUAUAUAUAUUCACCUUUCUCAGAGGCCAAGAAGUCUUCGACAGAAAUGUGAUCCUUGAGCUUCUCCCAAGUUUCAAUUAAUUCGCUUUGAGUGAGGAUAUUUUCUGGUGGCCUCAAAUACAAUGUUUUGUUCAGUACUCGAGGAGCAUUUAUUGUCUUAAUAGUAUUUAUGGCAACAUCAUCGAUAUGCACAGUAAAAAAAAAGAUAAUCAUUUUGUUUAAUAUGAACAUAAAUUGUCAAAUUCUGAAUCAUAUUAUAGUGAACGAUAUUGUCGUAUGGUGUGUGUAUGUACUAUCUAUAGUUUUAAUAUUAUUAAUAAGGAGUUAAAAGUCUUGAUUUAAUUUUAAAUUGUUAUUCCUCUAACUUCACCGUCUCCAUAGAUGCAGACUCUAUCUUUUGAAGGGCGGGGGUAGCUAUAUUUGAGAGAGGUGUCUGGGGAACCAACCAGCAAAAAAUAGCUAGCAGAAACAUAAAUGACAAGGAUUUGAGCAGCCUUGAUUGCCCUUCUCACACAUGCGCUCUGUGUUCUCCCUCCAGCUCUCACUCACUCACGCCCAAAUCUCACCUCACUCACGUAUCUCUCCUUUCUGACCGGUGGUUUUCUCUCUCUCGCCGUGGGUCUCUAGGCUGGCGGGGAUUUCUCGACUUGACUACUAAAACAUAAUCCAAAAACUAUCUCGACUUGACUACUAAAACAUAAUCCAAAAACUACUAAGAUAUAUAUAUAUUACUAUGAUAUACACAAUAUGAAGAAACUGCAGUUAUAUUUCAAAUAUUUUAUGAAGGAAGAGGCUGUAUGGAUUAUCCAAAGGUGCUGAAAUUAAGAGACCCACGCCAACCGACAGAGUGAGUGAAUAUAAGGGGGUUAUUGGGUAAAAAUCACAUAACGCGCAAGCGAAAUUUUAGAUUAUAUUUUUUAAUACUCUCCGAGUCUCUCUUUCUCUUUCUUUUUUGGUUUGAACCACGAGGUGGUCCUGAGUGGGUCCCAACUAUGGAAAGCACUUUUAAGCCCGUACCACAACUUAGACUAAUCCCCACUCGCACCGGGUCGGCCCGUAAGGGGUAAAGUGCUGGGCAAAGUGGUGACUCCAUACGAGAGCGGGACUUGAACCCCUGACCUCUCUUAAGGAGUGAGAGUGCCGAACCACUCACACCAACCAACUUUGGUUAACUCUCUUUCUCUUUUUCUUUUUUUAAAUAAAUGUCAGUAUAAAAUUAGAAAAUUUUAGAUAUAAAAUUUGGCGAUGACCAAACAAAAAUUGCAGGGGAAACCUUGAUAUCAUUGAAAUACUAAUCAUAGACACUGCAGUAUAAAUAACUUCUUGUGAUCUACUCAACUUUAACACUUUAAUCCAUAUUCUAAAAUUUGCAUGUUUGUUAGGAUUUUUAUUAUUGAUACUGUUGUAUCAAUAAAAUUAUAAUUUAUUCAUAUGGAAUGAAAACAUCAAGAAAGGACCUCUGAAGUUUAUUAUAACAGAAAAAAAUGGUCCAUAAGUCUAUUUAUUAUUUUAUUUAUUCAAUACAAAUGGCCAACUUUAAAAAUGGUAAAAGUCACACAAUGCACAAGUAAAAUUUUAGAAUUAAAUUUUUUAAUUCUCUUUGAGUCUCUCUCUCUUUAAAAAAUAAACCUCACUGUAAAAUUAGAAAAAUUUUAGACGUAAAAUUUGACAAUCACCAAAUAGAAAACAUAGGCAAAUGAAAAUGGAGGAGCCCUAUUUUCAUUAGAAUAUUGAUCAUAGAUACUAUAAUGUAAAUCAUUUGUUGUGGUUCAUUCAACCUGUCACACUCUAAGCCAUUUUCUAAAAUUUGUAAGGUUUAUAGGAUUUUUAUUAUUGCCAUCAUUGUAUCAAUAAUAUUAUAAAUUAUAUAUUCUAUUGUAAUGAAAAUUUGUGCAAUCUUAGGUAUGUAUUAUAUUAAAUUGUGUGGAUUAAUUAAGAAUAUUUUUGGAGACAAAAGAAGUGUGUGUAUGUAAGAAUAAUGAUAAAAAAUUUCUAAAUAAAGGUGAUUGCUUCAUUGACAAGUACAUAUUUAUAUUCCUCUAUUAGUAUUUGGGUUGUAAACUCUGUUUAUAAAGUGAAUAUAUUGUGGUAAGCGAUGUGGGAAAUAUCGGAUGCGAAAUAUUGAGAGAUCAUUAACGCAUAUAUUUAUUGAAGAUGCAUAUAGAGGAAAGAGUGUAGAUCCGGCCGUAACACUUAUGAAGCUUUCCCUAAGUAUUCUCAUGCUUGCUUAACUAUUCCGAAGUAUUUUUCAUAGUGUGCAUAUUUACUUUAUGGUGUCUUUAUUCGUCUCAAAUGAUUACUACAGUUCUUUUGGGAUGAAAGGUCAUUUAUUUUGUUAAUUUUAAACAAUAGAAAAAAUAAAUAAUGGUAACGAAAGACUAAUUGUGAUAUUGAAGCGUACGGACUUUAACUCAAUCCAAAAAUUAGUAGGACCCACAUAUAUUUGAUGACGCUGAAAGUUACAUCAAUUGUAACUUAGAAACAUCCAAAUAUUAGACAAUAAUACACAAUAACAAUGCAUAUAAUUUGGGUUUGAUUUUUAAAAAAUUAUUUGAAUAUCACUUAUCCUUAAGAUAUUAAUUUGAAUAUAUUUUAAUAGUAAAUAAUAAAAAUUUGUUUAGUUAUUAUUUGUAUUUCAUACAUUGCAUGUUAGAUUUGUUUGAAUUUUAAGUUGUUGCGAAUAAAUAUUUAUGUUGUGAAAGUCGAAUUCAAUAGCUACAAAAGCAGAGAUAAUUGUAUUUUAUAUAGUUUUUAAGAAUACAAGGAUAAGAUCAUAACGCAUGAGAUAACGGUAUUUUAUAUUAAAAGACCAUAAUGCAUGUAUUUGAGCCAUUUAUAUUGAAGACACAUAUAGAGGAAUGAGUGCAGAUCCGACCAUAACUAUUGUGAAGCUUUCCUCAAGUAUUCUCAUGCACCCAAACCUUAUCUGGUCAAGGUUUCUGAUUGAAUAUAAUCAAUUUCCGUGCAGUACCGAAGACAGCUUCUGUUGGUAGUUGAAUUUGUGGGGAAUGACAAAUGUAGAGAAAUACAACAAUAAUGGUGGAACUUUAUUACGUAAAGUAAUGUGUUUACAACUAACUCUGUAUGUAGUAAGAAAAAUAAUAGUAAUAAGUAAACUUGCAAAAAUUUUGUGUGCUUGAAGGCACGUUACAAAUGUCGCUUUCCUUAAGACGUUAUUUGCCCCCACCAAUUGAGUGAUGCACAUGGGUUAAGCAAAUACGCAUCCAGGAUACAAUGAAGCACUUGUUUGUUUGCUAGUGUUGUGCAUCAACGAAAGCAAACCAGAAUACUCUUGAAUGUUGCAAGCCUGCCAAGAAACAAUAAAUUGUUCCUGCAGAAAACAAUAUAUUGGAUUGUGAAUGCACAAAAGAAAUGGGUGUUUUGUGUUGAAAUUCGUACUAGAAAGGAAUGCUAAGAAAAGAGUGGUGUAGGAUCAUUGAUUUCAUGUCUAAAUGGCUUAAACAUGACCCCUAUUUAUGGAUAUACUUGUGCCCCCUCAUUUGGGUUGUCAUCUUCAUGAUACCCCUUCAUUCAUGGCCAUUGGAUCUAUAUUUAAUUUUAAUCAAUGGUCCAAAUUGAACCAUCACCAUUUCAAAUGAAAUGUCACCAUGAAAUGAUGCAUCUCUAAGUGAAAUGUUACCAUGAAAAGUUAUAUCAUUUAGUAAAAAGAUACAUUUUCUAUAAGACAUAAUUAAAUAGACAUGUCCUUACAACAAGACAUCAUUUAAUUAGACAUGUCUUUAGUGAAAUGUACUUUUUCUAUAAGGCAGAAUUAAUAAGACAUGUCUUCACCAUAAGACACAAUUUAUUUUGAAAAUUUUCCAACAGCUUAUCUGUAAAGCUCUUCAACCACAAGCAUUUCUACAAGGCAAAAGACUAGGACGUGUUGGAAUGAAUAUCAAUAAGGGAAUGUCUUAUGAAUUUGGUUUAUAUCCUAAUAUAAGACAAUCAAUAAAUAUUGGAUGCAAUCUAAGGGCUAACAUUUGAUUGAUCAUUGUACGAAAAAAAAAGGUACAAAAAUACAAAACAGAGCUGAUUGAUGGCCUUUAACAGUCAGUUCUAUGACAAAGUAACCACCACAACAAAUGGAAUUAUAAGACAUCAAGAAACUUGAACUUGGCAGGAGGUCUCAUUAGCAGUAUACCUCAGAAAUUAAGACAGAGACUUUAAAAUGCAAGCUUAUGGAGUAAUUUAAGCACUGAAACUAAUAACAGUGAUGCAAAAAAAGGUGCAGAAGUACGGUAUUAGCAAUUGACCUCUGCUUUUGCUUGGACAAAGGUUUUCAUCACAAGGGACUCAUUAGUUGCCCUUGCCUCACACGAUUGGAUGCUAAGGGGAAAAAGGAAGCUUCUAACGGCAUUCACAGAGAACCUAUAAAACUAAAAAAAAAAAAAAUCAUCCAUGAAAAGGCUACUAACAAAAAAACUAACUCUUUUAUCUGCCACUGACCUAAUCCGCACUCAUUUAAUUAAAAAAGAAUUAAAAGCAAAACUAAAAGAUACAAAUUGCGUACAAGUCUAGGAGCCAUAUCAAAGGCGUUAUAUAACUUUUCCAAUUAAUAAAUUCUCUUAAGGGCCAUACCGUGCUCAUCAUUUCAAAAGCAAUUAAGGAUAAGAACUUUCAUCAUUAAUUGAUAUGGCCAGUGUAGAAAAAAUGAAAAAGCCCUCCAAGAUCAAAGCACAAGGAUCAGUUUAGAAUUACACUUUUUAAAUUUUGGUUAAUAAAUAAACGUUUAUAUGAAAAUAGAAAAUCUUUUUGGAAUAACCUUUUUUUUUCUUUUUUUAAUGAAUGUGGAUAUAAAAUUUUAAAAUCGCCAAACCGAAAAGAAAAACAGGGGAAUGAAAAGAGAGCCCACGUUUCUCCUCUCUUUUGUUUUUAUUGUUAUCAAACAGGGGAAUGAAAAGAGUGCUCUGUUUCUCCCCUGUUUUGAUUUUUUUAUUACUAAACAGGGGAAUGAAGAGAUCAGCUCUUGUCGCAAGCGCAAAUUUUUGUUUCUAAAUGCAGUUGGUUGUAACUAUAUUCGCAGUCCCUAGUACUUAGAAGUAAAGGCUCUUGGAAUUUCUAUUGUAGUACAUGAGAUGUUUCCCGUUCAAAUAGCUCGCCCGAUACCAUUAGCAUGUUCAUCUCUCUAUAGAUUGAUGUUGACAUAGAUGUUAUUCUACUUUUGCUAGUGGAGUUUUGGGCCUUGUCGUAAUUGGUGGAAUUACGACAUCGGUGGCUGACAUGGCUUUCCUUGUACAGGUAUGUAUGAUUGUUUUUUUUGCACGUCUAAAUGGCACUGUUGAAAAGCUUAAAAUUGAACUGAUAAUUUUGUUUGGAAGCUCAGAAAAUUCAUGAGAAAGUGAAAUAGAAUAUUCUGGAUUUCUUUUCUUUCCAUAACAUACAAAUGACAAACGUAGCAGUAUUUAUACUCGUUGCUUACAUCAUAAAAACAGAAUUAAAGCAAGUUAUACAACUAUAACAUAAUAAAAACCGUGCUUAACUAAUUGGCUGAGCUAGCAUAUACUUCUUUAACUAACACAUGCUUAUCGUGCAGCUACUCUUUAGUUCACACGUGCUCAGUGUGCUUCCUUAACAGACACAAGGGAAAAGACAUGAUUUUGAGAUAUAACGCUUGAAUGUUCUCGGAAUGGCAUAACGCUUUGUGUGUCUCGGACCUGUUAAGAAUAACAUAUGCUGAGUCAGCUGCUGAGUCAUCAAGCCACGCUGGAAGUUAGUUUUGCAGUUAGUUAGAGAGCUUAUCAGCUUCCCUCCAAAAGUUUGUUAUGUGUAUUAGAAUCUGGGCUCACGAGUUUUGUGAGAUUGUAACCUUAAGAAGAUUCUCACACUACUAUAAAUUGUAUUGUGACUCAAUUAAUAAAAUAAGUUGAAGCUUUGCAUUUUCUCUCAGUCAAAAUUUUCUCUCUGUUUUUCUAACCAAACAAGAUCUACAGAGCAUCUUGUAUUUUAACUUGGUAUCAGAGCUUGAAUCCAAUGGCCUUAAUCGGUUCCAAUCAACAGUCAAGCAACACUUCCAUAACUUCUUUCACCUUCACAAAUCCAAUUAAGCUUGAUCGUGCAAACUAUACGAUCUGGAAACAAUAAGUACUUUCUUCAAUUCGUGGCAAUGGUCUUGAAGGCUAUAUUGAUGGAUCAAGGAUCUGUCCUAGUCAAUUUCUUUCUCCAGAGGCUAGAUCUGAAGGUUCUUCUUCUUCUAACAUCGAAGGUCAAGAGAAUCCAGAGUAUGCAGCCUGGAGACGUCAAGAUUAGCUCCUGCUCAGCUGGAUUCUGUCGUCCAUGAAUGUAGAUAUUCUCAGUCUUGUGGUAAGCUCUAAGACUUCUUUUGAGUUGUGGAAAAAUCUAGAAAAAUAAUUUGGAUCUGAAUCUAUGGCUAAGAAGGUUCAUCUAAAAAUGCUUUUGAGUAACCUGCGAAAAGGAUCUCUAACCAUGUCUGAGUAUUUUACAAAGCUUAAGUCAGUUACAGAUGGUCUUGCUUUAGUUGGUAGCCCUGUGCAUGAUUCGGAUUUAGUCACUCAUCUUAUUACUAGUCUAGAUCAGUCAUAUUAUCCUGUAGUAGUCUAUAUUGAGGCAAACAUGUUGAAAAUGGAUCUUAGUGAGGCUUAUGCUAUGCUUCUCACACAUGAAGCUAGACUUGAGAAUAAUAAGCUUCAUGAUAGUAAGGAAACCAAGAACAAUUAUGCAGCAAAUGUAGCUCAGGCUGGAAAUUUUUCAAAGAAAGGUAAUAACAAUAAUCAAAACAACUGGAAGGCUGGAGGAAACAAUUGGAAUAAUAACUCUGGUGGAAGAGGUGGUUUUGGUGGUAAUGGAAGAGGUGGUUACCAAGGGUUCAAUCCAGGAAGAGGAAACUAGAAUAAUAAUAAUUUCAGAGGUGUUGCUGGUGGAUUUAAUAGUGGAUUUCCUGGUCCCGGUGGCUUCAAUAACAAUUAUGGCAGAGGUGGUUUCAACUCAGGAGGUGCUGGAAAGAAUUUUGCUCAGGGAACUGGUGCUGCUUGUCAGAUAUGCUUCAGGUUUAAUCACACAGCAGCUGAUUGCAGAGACAGGUUCAACCGAAAUUUUAUCCCAAAUUUUCCAGCUCCAGCUCCAAAUCACUUCUGUAAUCAGCAUCAAGGACCAAGAGCAGUCUUCAUAACAACAUCUGAAGGAGCUGCUGAUCAGGGAUGGUUUCUGGAUAGUGGUGCAACUCACCACUUAACCAACACAGUUCAGAAUCUGAGUGAUGGUAAAAUCUAUUUUGGCUCAAACUUACUUACUGUUGGUAAUGGCCAAGGUCUUAGAAUUACUCACAUAGGUUAUACACAACUUCACACUUCUUUUGGCACCUGUUUACAACUACAUAAUAUUUUGUGUGUCCCUCAAAUUACCAAGAACCUCAUUAGUAUUUCCAAACUCCUCACUGAUAAUGAUAUAACCAUUGAAUUUUUCUCUGAUGUUUGCUUUCUAAAGGACAAGGUGAAGGGCACUCUGUUGGCUCAGGGGAUAGCCUAUACAAGCUACUAUCAAAAGAGGAAUCUCUCUCUUCUUCCACUUCUGUUCUGCCAGUGUCUCAUCCUAGUUCUAUGAUGUCAACUCUUUCCUGCAAUAAUGUAGUUACUUCUGUUCAAAGUUCAAAUAAUGACUUCUGUUUUAAGUCUACAUUUCCUGUAAGCUUUCAAACUUCAAGUUAUGUGUCAGCAAAUAUGUUGCACAAUAGACUUGGUCAUCCAAGUAAACAUGUCAUACAAACUAUUCUCAGAAACAAUUGUUUAAUGUCAGCCAAUGUUAGUAAAUCAAAUUUUCUUUUCUGUGAUGCCUGUCAAUUGGGAAAGUUACAUCAAUUACACUUUCCUGCUACUGAAAUCAAAACAAAAAACCCCUUAGAAUUAAUACACACAGACUUAUGAGGACCAGCACCAGUUUUAUCACUAGAUGGCUAUAGAUACUAUAUUUCCUUUGUUGAUGACUUCACCCGAUAUUGUUGGAUCUUUCCUUUAGUUUUAAAAUCUGAUGCUCUUACUACUUUCAAAAACUUCAAGAGCUUAGUUGAGAAACAAUUCAGUCUGCCUAUCAAAAUUCUGCGGUCUGAUAUGGGAGGUGAAUUCAAAGCUUUUCAGUCCUUUCUUCAACAAGAAGGUAUCCAAGCUAGAUUUAGUUGUCCCUAUACUCACCAUCAAAAUGGUGUUGUUGAGAGAAAAUAUAGACACUUAGUAGAAACUGGAUUAACACUCCUUACUCAAGUAAAAAUGCCUAUUUCUUUCUCGUGGGAGGCUUUCCAUACAGCCUCCUAUCUCAUUAAUAGAAUGCCUACCACUACACUGAACAACUUAUCUCCCUAUCAAAAGCUUCAUAAUCAGCCACCAAACUAUCAACUUCUCAGAGUUUUUGGUUGUGCUUCCUAUCCUUUUCUCAAGCCUUAUAAUGAUCACAAGCUUGAUUUUCAUUCCCAAAAAUGCUUGUUCUUAGGUUACAGCCCUCUUCAGAAAGGAUAUAGGUGUCUAACAAAGUCAGGUAAAGUAUAUGUUGCUACUCAUAUUGUUUUUAAUGAAUCUGAUUUUCCCUAUUCAGAGUUGUUCUCUUCAUCUGAGUCUUCUUCCAAUUCUCUAUCAUCAUACUCUCCAUCUAUUUGUAUCCUUAAUGACAGUGGCUUGCAUCAAUCAUCAGCUACAUCUCCUACUUCAGCAAAGUUACCAACUAUACAUUCACCUCAACAUCCUCACCAAGCCCCACACUCUCCUUGUCCCUCUCCAGUCUCAGAUUCCUACAGCUAAUCAUCACCACAUUCUUCAUCACAUAAUGCUUUAGCCAAUCCCUCUGAUGAAUUACAACCAUCAUCUCAACCUGUCAUUUCAACUCAUCAGAUGGUCACUCGAGCCAAAUCUGGUAUUUUUAAACCAAAGACCUACCUUACAGCUACCCAAGACCUUGAACCAGUGAGUGUUAAAGCAACCCUAAUUGAUACAAAGUGGAAAAUGGCUAUGCAAGAAGAGUAUAAUGCCUUGCAGAAGAAUGGCACCUGGACAUUAGUUCCAGCUGAAACAGCUACAAAACUUGUUGGCAAUAAGUGGGUUUUUCGAGUUAAAUAUAACCCAGAUGGCAGCAUUUCCAAGUAUAAGGCUCGGUUGGAUGCAAAAGGUUUUCAUCAAACCUAUGGAGUAGAUUUCUUUGAAACUUUUAGUCCAGUUGUUAAACCCUGCACUGUUCGUAUUGUUCUCAGCUUAGCAGUCAUGCAUUGUUGGCCAGUUCGGCAAUUAGAUGUUAACAAUGCCUUUCUUAAUGGCAUGCUUACUGAAGAUGUGUUUAUGCCUCAGCUAGAAGGCUUUAUCAGCUCUCAGUUUCUCAAUCAUGUCUGCAAAUUACAAAAAGCCCUUUAUGGUCUUAAACAGGCUCCAAGGGCUUGGUAUGAUAGAUUGAAAGGGUCUUUAGUUCAGUGGGGUUUCAAAUCUUCAAAGUCAGAUACUUCACUGUUUUUCAAGCAUAUUGGCAAUAAUGUUCUCAUCAUCCUUGUUUAUGUAGAUGAUAUCCUGAUAACAGGCUCUAGUGAUGUUUAUAUUUAAGAGGUUAUCAGUCUACUUAGCUCAGAAUUUGCACUUAAAGAUUUAGGAGAUUUUAACUACUUUCUUGGGGUAGAAGUGACUCCAUCUGCUGAAGGAUUACAUCUAUCUCAAACUAAGUAUGUUGGUGACAUCUUAAGAAAAGCUCAUAUGCUUGAGAGUAAAGGUUGUAAUACACCUAUCAGUGUUGCUGAUAAAUUGCAGAAGGACAAAGGCUGCUCAUUUACAAAUCCCUCACUUUACAGAAGCAUCAUUGGUUCUCUGCAGUAUCUGACACUGACCAGACCAGAUAUUGCAUUCACUGUAAACAAAUUGAGUCAGUUUUUAGCUGCUCCAACUAUCUUGCAUUGGCAGGCUUGCAAGAGGGUAUUACGAUAUCUACAAAGCACAUCACAUUUUAGACUGCAAUUCUUCAAGUCAGGUUCUCCAAGUCUCAUAGCAUAUUCUGAUGCAGAUUGGGGGUCUGAUCCAGAUGAUAGAAGAUCUGUUGGAGGGUAUUGUGUUUAUCUUGGAUCCAAUCUUGUGUCUUGGUCAUGUAAGAAACAGAACAUUGUUUCCAGGUCAUCUGUUGAAUCUGAGUAUAGAGCAUGGCCUUAGCUACAUCUGAGGUUUUGUGGAUUACAUAUCUAUUAAAAAAGCUCAAAGUAUCACUUCCCAAACCUCUUGUUCUUUACUGUGACAACAGCAGUGCAGAAGCUUUGGCUAGCAAUCCUAAGUAUCAUUCCAGAACUAAACAUAUAGAACUGGAUUUACAUUUUUUCAGAGAACACAUUGCCAACAAGGAUCUCUUCAUUGAACAUGUGUCUAGUUCUGAUAAGCUAGCUGAUGUGCUUACCAAACCUCUGAGUUUUGAUCAUUUUGCCUAUAUGCAAACUAAGGUCAAUGUCUGCCCAUGACCUUGAGCUUACGGGGGCAUUUUAAGAAUAACAUAUGCUGAGUCAUCAAGCCAUGCUGGAAGUCAGUUUUGCAGUUAGUUAGAGAGCUUAUCAGCUUCCCUCCAAAAGUUUGUUAUGUGUAUUAGAAUCUGGGCUCACGAGUUUUGUGAGAUUGUAACCUUGAGAAGAUUCUCACACUACUAUAAAUUGUAUUGUGACUCAAUUAAUAAAAUAAGUUGAAGCUUUGCAUUUUCUCUCAGUCAAAAUUUUCUCUCUAUUUUUCUAAGUAACCAAACAAGAUCUACAGAGCAUUUUGUAUUUUAACUGGAGCGGCUGAUUGGUGCUGUACGUGUUACAUUUUUACUUUUUUAACUCAAGUCUGCUGUUGUCCCAAAGUUGGAACUAGAGAUAUCAUUUCACCUCAACUGUGUUUUUUUUUUAAUUAAAAAAAUCAUUUGUUUUAGGUAUACAUACAUGUAUUUUAAUUCUAUUUUCCUUGUAAUUUCUCCUUUACUUUGAAUGAAAGUCAUUGGUGUUUUCGAAUGGGAAUUUUGCAUUAAAAAAUUAAGAAUAGUUAAUAGGAAAUUUCCUGAUUCUUUAGUUACUAUUUUUGGUAUGAGUGUAAUUAGUAGUAAAGUUGGUUUCUACUCGCAAACAAGUGAACUGCUCGAUUCCCAAGUGCUAUUAACCAGUUUCCAACUUUUUAAUAUACACUAAUUGUUCCUGUUUAAUAGCUACUACUAUUAAAACUCAACAGCUAACAAAAAUACUAAAAAAAAUGAUUUUUUCUUAUGAUGCUGUGAAAAAAAUUACGGGUUUACUUAUUUCCACGAGAUCUUGUAUAGUGUUCUUGUAUAGUGGAAUUAAGAUUGUCUUCCCGAUGGUGCAAUUCACCCUCUUCCUUUACAGUCACUUGCACUUUGUGCAGCUUUGGUGUGGAUAAGAUUCCCAGGGAAAAAGUCUUCAUGUUCGGACAAUGUGUCACAAAUACUCGUUCCAAUGAUGGGAAUUCAAGAGGGUAAUUCUCCAAACAAAAGCUGGUAAGCCUUGGUAAAUACGACUCUCCUUCACUUCUUCUCCAGCAUGUCCUACGAUUUCUUCUAAUUUUUUGCAGUUCCAUACAUAAAGAUUCACCAGACUAGUAGGAAUUCCAACCUGAAAAUAAGCAGAGUGUGUGUGUGUGUGUGUAUAUAUAUAUAUUAAAAAAGUAAAUAUGUAAGAGUAUCAUUCAACUAGGCUCAAAGAAUGUUUAAUCAUACAAUUAUACGUUUUAUGAACAUAACAAACUGUGAAAUAUCUACUAGAUAUUUUUUGUUAAACAAAAAAGGUAACAAGAUAAAUAAAUAAAUAAAAGCCAGAUAAACAAAGAUGAUAAAAAUGUAUUUACACUAUUUAGUAUUAGGGACGUAGAAAGAAUUUAUGGCAAUUUCUAAAUAUUUUGGACUUAUUUUGCAUCUUGAUAUAAGUUUUUAAGCAUAAAUUUGCAAAUUUCAACUAUUCCUUUAAAAAAAAAACUCAACUAAAAUGCCUCUUUUUCCCUUUUCCUUGGUCCCUAUUUUUUAUGUAUAUAUAAAAAUGGAAAAAAAAAUUUUGGAAAAGACUUCCCAGUACUGUCAACAAGGGAUUGCUGUAAAGUGGAUCUUUAUUAAGUACUUCCAGACUCGAGGAAAUUUCUUUACAAUCAAGGGUCAGUUGUAAACAAUCAUGAAUUUGUGGUUAAUUAAUGGCAUAAUCAAUUCUUAACUAAACUGGAGAUAUUAAUUAAAUUUGAAGACUUUUUUUUUUUCCAAUCGAAAUGUGAAGAAUUAAGGAAAAGAGAAAUAUAUAGAUGAAUUUGUGAACCUAUAAGAUGAGUGACUAUCCUUUAAUUUUUGAAAAUUGUACUUAUUAAGACAUGAGCAGAAACAAUUAAAUUGAAUUAUAUUAUGCUGUUGAAUCGUGAUUAAAAAAAUUAUAUUGUUGAUUCUAAUGCUGGCGAACCUAAAAACUGGACUUAAAACGUAGAUUUCAGAGUGGUGGUUUGAAGUACAAUACUUGAAAUAAAUAAUCAGUGGCUAAAUAUCAUUUGUAAACCCAAAAAUGGUUAAAAUAUUGUUGAAUGUUAUUUGAAAAAAAAAAAAAAGAGAUUCAAAAUGAAUAUUCUUACCAAUGGAGGAAAAAUAUUCUUUAGGUUAUCACACCAAGAUAUCUCCAAAUUCUUCAAUUUGCUGAAAGACUCCGAAGCAAGCUGGUGGUGCCAUAUUUUUCUCAAAUUAUCCAUCCAGUCAAUACGUAAUACCUCCAACCUAGGAAGUCGUACCUGACAGUUAAAGAUUAAAUAACUAAUUAAUCAAUUAAUGGCAUAAUCAAUUGAUAAAUAAAUUAGAGGCGGAUAUUAACUAAAUUUGAAGACUCAAGGAAAAGACAAAUUAAAUAUUGUGACUAAAAUAAAUUUAAAAAAAAAAAAAACCUUUUCGUCAAAGAGAGGAGGUUGCAUUUCAGAAUGAAUGGUGUCUUCUGGUGAGCUCGUGGAGAUGAAUCUUAACAUAUUCCAGCAACUCUGAAUCUCGAGGUUUAGCAAAGAAGGGAAUUCAACAACUAAAUCUGAAUGAAUAUGUCCCGUAUUGGCAAAGCUUGUUAGUUCUGGAAGCCAAUAGAGCCGCAGGAAGUGUAGUUUAGGAAAUACCUUUAAUUCAAUCAACUUUCCUUCAUCUCUUUCUGACCAUCCCGUGGUGUCGACUACCCCUUCCAUUGACUCACAAUAGCUUAUCUCAAGAUGUUGGAGCUGCAAAAGGCUAUUAACCAUAGAAUAUGAAAACAGAUACUUCAUACGAUGACAACCGACCACGUGCAGCUUUGUUAGAUUUUGACAACAGUACAUUCCUUGAUUAUGAUCGGCCCAUAAUUUUUUCAUGUUUCUCAAGUCCCUGAGAUUCAAUUCCUCUAAGCUCGGAAGAAUAACCUGCAAAGAAAACCCGUACAUUUUUGUUCCUUCAAGUACAACCGUCUAGUAUAAUAUUCUUUUGAUGAUCGAAGAUUAAUCGUGAUAAUAAAUUAAUCAAUUAAUUAUUGAACAGAAAAUUAUCACCUUUGGAGCAGGAUCAUCAUCAGAAAUGAUUUCGUUGAAUCCCAAAGAAGUUGUUGGUUUGUCCAUGUCGGGUCCUAUAAACAAACAAAAACAAUAUACAUAAUUAAUCUUUGUCGUUGUCUUUUUUUUUCAAAAUAAUUGAGGCGAAGUCCAUAAAUCCACCAACACUUAAUUUCAACACUUACCAACAAUCAUUUCCAGAUCAUCGCAAAAAAACACUUCUACCUUUUGAAGCCACAGUAGGUUUUUGGCCAUGGAGAAUGAGAAAAGAUGCUUCAAUUCGUGACAGUCUGAUACUUUUAUAAUCCUUAAGUUGCUGAAAGAUUGAUCUUCUGUGAGUUGGCUGUCACAUAUUGUCUCCAAAUUUAUCAAACGACGAAGAGACAAUGACUCCAGCAAGGGGAAGACUUUGCGACGAACCCGUCCAACUGAACAGACAAUAUGCAAAAUCUCAGACCAACUUUUUACAGCAAGGUGCUUCAAUCGUGGAAAACCUUCCCCAUCAUCUAAUUCAUGAACAACAUUCUGAACACCCUUCAGUUCUUCUAGAUAGAGAUAUUCAGUUCUCUUCAACAACAGUUUCAUCCUGUAAUUCUGCAAAAGAAUGCCAAACUUUUCCAGCCUCUGGAGCUUCAUCAAUCUUGAUAAUCCAGAUUUAACGGACCAGCUGCUCCCCCACUUAUUUCCUAUACAUAUCCUAUAGGUAGAAGUGUUCUAGCUAUUAAUUUUAUACAUAUCUUCUAUAGGUGUAUUCUAAUUAAUUUCAUACAUCAGAUUUUUAGAUAAAAAUAAAGAAGUAAAAAAAAAAAAUCUUCACAUCAUCUUAAGAAAUUCAAAGCCAUGAUACCACAUCCAAUCACGAGAAUCCAUUUUCCUAUGAUCACUGACCUUUAGGUGCGGUGCUUGGUUUGAAGAAGGGAAAGGGGGUGAGGAAAGUAAUUUGAAUUCCUUUCUUAUUUCCGUUGUUUGGUCGGUCAUAAUAUAAAAGAAUUUAAUUUUCAUUAAAAUUUAAUAUAAUCAUAAUGUGGAAUUUAGAUUUCUCAAUAAAGAGUGAUGAAUCUUGGUUUGGGUCUGUUUUGAGUUUAUUUUCAUUUAUUUGGCUAUGUUUUGAUAGCGAAUUUUGAUAUGUCAAUAUAACGUGUAAUUGUUUUGGGUUGAGCUGGUAAUUAUGCUGGAUUAGAUUGGUUUGGUUUUGGUGCUUCUCUGAUGGAACACUGUUUUUUUUAGAAAUUUUGAAUGUAAUAUGAGACUACAUUUAGUUUAAUUGAACACUGCAUCUAGUCUAAUUACUAGAAGUGCGGCAUUUGGUUUGGUUUAUCCUAUAUUCUCCAGAAUUUCACUUGCAUCUGGUUUUGUUGCAUAUGUUUGCUUGCAUUUGAUGGCAGUAGCAGACUGUUUGGUUUUGUGACAUUUGAUGGCAGUUUGGUCUGUUCUUGGUGUUGGUUUAAGAUUGUUCCUGUUGUGCUGAUGUUAAUUGCAGGUGCUUGAAUCAGCUAGGGUUGCUGGUUUAUUCAGAUGGUUGACUCAGGCGUUGUUACUGGUUAAUUCAGGUGGCUGACUCAAGUUGUUCAUUUAAUGUUAGGAAGCAAAUUAAGAAUUAAUGAAGUAUUCAUUAAACUAUAAUUAUUGUAGUUAUUUUAUUUCAUAACUGAAUUAUAAUCUAUGAUACUUGUGAACAAAUUAGAGAAUUUUUAUAUAUGAAUUAUAUAUAUGUGUAUGUACAUUUUGCUAAUAAUUUAAAGAAUAUAUUUCAAUUCCCACAAAAAAAUGGCUCCAAUUUCAAUAAUUCCCGCCAAAUAAUUAAAUUUUUUUAAUUUACCACCAAAAUAUAUCUUAAAGAAAUUUUAGUUAUUCUUGCUAGAUUUAACAAAAAUGAUUUGUAGGAUUAACAUUUAAUUAAAAUAAUUAAAUAAUUUUAUUAUUCCAAUUAAAUAUGUCAUGUUUAUACGACAGACAAUAUUCAUGAAUGGGAAGUAUUAGUUACGUAUUUUUCCUUGGGAUUUCAGGCAAAUGAAAAAAAGAUUGAGAAUGAUUUCAAGAGGACAGGUGGAUGAUAAGUAUUCAUUUUUGUAUAUUUGUCUAAUGUCCUCAUUAGUGGAUUUUUAUGGUAUUGAUCUUUUUUUUUUUUUUUUUAAUUUUCAAUUAGUUGCAGCCCUAGAGGAAGAGCAGGCUGAUCAAAUUGAUUUGUCUUGUUUUUCGGGCAAUCUACGACAUGAUGACCGUGAUAAUGCUCGUGACUGCUGGAAACUUUCUGAUGGAAAUAACUUUAGAGUUCGUAGCAAGCAUUUUUGUUAUGACAAAACAAAGGUUCCCCCAUAAUUUGUUUGUUUGUUAUGGUAUUUAUAUAUCCUGCAUAGGCUAGGUAGACAAGUUAUGAUGUACGUGUUUCUCAUAUAGAACUCAAGUCUGCUGUUGUCCCAAAGUUGGAACCAGAGAUAUCAUGACUCUGGUUUCAUUUCACCUCAACUGUGUUUUUUUUUUUAAUUAAAAAAAUAUUUGUUUUAGGUAUACAUACAUGUAUUUUGAUUCUAUUUUCAUUGUAAUUUCUCAUUUACUUUGAAUGAAAGUCAUUGGUGUUUUCGAAUGGGAAUUUUGCAUUAAAAAAUGAAGAAUAGUGAAUAGGAAAUUUCUUGAUUCUUUAGUUACUAUUUUUGGUACGAGUGCCAUUAGUAGUAAAGUUGGUUUCUACUCGCAAACAAGUGAACUGCUCGAUUCCCGAGUGGUAUCAACCGGUUUCCAACUUUUUAAUAUACACUAAUUGUUAUUGUUUAAUAGCUACUACUAUUAAAACUCAACAGCUAACAAAAAUACUUAAAAAAAAUGAUUUUUCUUAUGAUGCUGUGAAAAAAAUUACGGGUUUACUUCUUUCCACGAGAUCUAUAACAUGGUCUUGAUUUCACGAAAUUCUUUUAAUUUAAAGCGUGCUGGUGUGAGAAGGUCAGUUUGACUGAUUAAUUCUUUUUAACAGUGGUCGAGAUAAUUUUACUAUACUCGAAAAUAUUCUUAUUCUGAUAAAGCCAUAAAUGUUAUGCUGUUUUCUUCGGCUAAUGAUCUUCUAUCAGGAGAGGUUAGAAAUCAAAUGCUUAAAAGACCAAUUGAACGAAUAAUACAGAAAUUUAGGCAGAAUCUAAUCGAAUAUUGUAUGAAACAUGAAACAUCAAUUCAAGUCCUUUCUUAAACAAAGAAUGCAUCAAACAAAAUCCAAAGUGUCUUGCAAGUUUGUAGCAUGAGCAAAAAAUUGUAAAUAUGUAGAACCAAAUUAUUCAAGUACAGAAGAACGAGCAAGCUAAAUCAUGUAUAAGAGAUUGGCCUGGUUCAGGAUAGCUUCUUCACUGUAGCUGAAGGGUUGGCUCAAUCUCUUCUUUAGAAUUCUGCAGAUUUUGUAAUUACUCGUGUAAGCAAGCAUACAUUGCCACCAUAAGAAUAAUAAAGCAAGAGUAAUGAUAUGACCACCACCUCUUGUGCACAAACAAUAUUGUAUAAACUAAUGCGACAUAAUAUGAUUGGUUAAAUAAAAACAUUACAUGGCCCUCAUAAUUUAUUUAUUUAUUUAUUAUUAUUAUUAUAUAUUUUCAAUCAACCAAUCAUAUUAUAUCACAUUAGUUUCUAUAAAAUAAUUUGCUAAAUAGCACCGAAACUUAAUUGAUACUCACCAUUUCAUUGAACAAUUUUUUUAUGGUGUCAUUGAGGUUGCCUUCCCAACAUCCUUCAUCAUCAUCAUCUUCUUCAUCAUCAUCAUCUUCUUCUUCAUCAUCUUCAUCAUCAUCAUCUUUUUCUUCUUCGGUGACGUUCACUUUGUUUAGCAUUGGUGUGUCUAAGACUCCUUGAGAGAAGAUCUUCAUUUUUGGACACUGUCUCACAACUACUUGUUCCAAGGAUGGGAACUCAAGAGCGUAAUUACCCAAACAAAAGCUUGUUAGGCUUGGCAAACAAUCAAGUCCCAAGUACUCCAAUUUCCUGAAAACAAUGCAAUCGUCCGCUUCUUCUCCAACCUGCGACUGUAUAAUUUCUUCCAUCAUUUUGCAAUCAGUUAUCUUCAUUCUUUCAAGAUUCACUAGACUUUCAGAUGUUGAGAGCGUCAAUAAAUUUAUCAACCCAUGACACUUCGAUACUUCCAGAGUCGCAAGAUUUUCCAAAUGCCACGAAGCUGGUACUAAUUUCUGCAACUUACUACAUUCAAAUAUUUCUAGACUUUUCAAGUUUGCAAACACUUUGUUGGAUUUGGCAUUUUCCUUCCAGAGAUGCUGCACUUUGUGUAAUCCAGAUAGCUUUAACUUCAUCAAUUGAGGGAAUGCAACCUGGAAAUCAACAAAAUUAAGUUGUAAAUGAAAAUAUGUAUCCAAUCUCUGCAGUCUUCCCCUGCAUAUUUUAUGGACAAGAUUAAUCACGGCAUUUUAUAUUUUAUUUCCAAAUUAGUAUGCUUUGCAGUAGGAUCCCAAAUAUAAGUAUCAAAUCGAUUACCCUUUGAAACACAUAAAUGAAAUCUGAUCCUAAAUCCAAUAUGAAUUAGCUAGGAAAACAGAGACCUAACACGCAUAAUCGAUAUAGUUCAUCACCUCCUGUCACUAGGCAUCUAAUUAAUUUGAGACAUUUUUUUAAUUCAUACUAUAAAGUUAGUUAAUAACUACGGUUAUAUUGUUAAACAUGUAUAAAUUAAGACGACGUGCAAAAAGAUGAGUCAUUAAAUUUGAUUUGAUUCUAAUGAAAUUAUAUCUGUGUGAAUGAAAGUGAAGGGAAAAAUAAUAAUAAUGUUACCUUUUCAUCGAAGAGAUGUUGUAUUUGAUUAGCUACCAAGAGGUUCUCUUCUUAUUUUAAUUUUUGAGCUUCCUUAUUAUCUGUUGUCAUGUGCAGUACAGAUGUAGAAUUGGACAUGAAUGUUUCCAUAUCAGGGCAAUUCUCAAUAGUUAGAUAUCUCAACUCAGGCAGUUCAAUUAUAUUCCCAGUGAAGUUGCAGAAUCUUUUGAGUUUUGGAAGGUCAAUGAGCCUUAGCUCAAAAAGCCUAGGAAACAGGGGGCCUAUAUGUUCUUCCUUGGCAUUUAGCUCUUCCAAAUGAAGCACCUCUUCUAGUGAAUCACAAUUCCUCACUUCCAGCCAUCUCAAAUUGUUCAAGCACCGUAUCAGAUUGGCAGGAAUAGCACUCGACAUAUUCGUGCGGUCAUCCACCACCAGGUGUCUUAAAUUGUUGAAGAAGCUGACAGGCAGUGCUUGGCCAUGC